rnacentral:lncRNA from 1 species
UAGCACAUAGGGUGCGUUGGGUUCGCGCUAUAUUUUUAAAAUUUUUAGUAAUUCAAUAAAAAUAAAAAAAAAUAAUGGUAUUUGACUAAACGUACUAAGUAAUCUAGUUGGUAAUAUUAAAUUUACUUGAAAAUGAGAUGCAUCCCAAAAUACUAAUCUCAUUUUUUUGAGGGAGGAUAGGUAUCUUUAUAUUAAUGGAUUGGAAUAAUUAUAAUAUAUUUAAUCUCUUUCUUUCUUUCUACCUGCCGUCUAGUUGGUAUUAUUUUUCUUUACACUCUAAUCUCAUAUCUCUUUCUAAACUAAGCCAUUUCUUCUUCUCUUUUUCUAAAAUCUCAGCUCUCUCAUUCUCUCUAACCUCGACUCUAUUUUUCUUCCUAUUUCUUUAAUUAUACUCUCUCUUUCUAACCUAUAUUCUCUCUUUCUUUUUUCUAAAAAAAUAUUAAAAUUUUUAUAGUAUUAUUUAAAAUUAAAUAAAAAAAAAUAAAUUGUAUAUUUUUCGUAAUCUUAAAUAAUAUGACUAAAUAAUAUGACAGUAAGAACCAAACACCGAAAUACUACAUUCUUAGUAAUAGAAUGAAUAGGAAUAAGAUUCUCGGAUAUAUUUUUACUGCAAGUAAUUUUUUAUAGUGCGAACCAAACACGCUCUUAAAGUAUACAGAUAUAGCGUUCACGAAUUUCGAUUGUGACUCGAUUCAUUCAGUUUUACUUCAUUUCGAAUAUGACUUGAUUCAACUCGAUCUCACAUGAUCAUUUCGAAUGUGACUCAAGCCACUUAACUUUCUGCCACAGAGUAUGAUGCUUAUCUCAUUUAAACCAACAAGAUGAAUUUGGCUGUGUUGGUAACGUAGGCUCGACGGAAGUCUGAGUUUUACAAGGUGAACUCUGGUUAUGAAAACUCCACCACUUCUACUCUACUUCGAUCAAAGUAAACAUGCUAUUAGACUCUUGACUUUAGAUUUAAUAUAGAAAAAUAAUUAUUUGAGUGAAUUUUUAUAUAAAAAAAACUAUUUGUACACAUUAUUACGGAAUAUAUAUUUUACACCUUAUAGUUCUAAAUUUUAAAAACUUUUAAAAAAUUUUAAAAUUCUUAAUAUUAAAAAAUUUGAUAACGCGAGUCAGUAAAUAUUAAUCUUUUUUUAAAGACAAAGCAUACCUAUUAUACCUAUAUUUAUAGGUGGCUUAAUUUCUAUAAGAAAUGGGAUCUACAAAUAAAGAACAAAGACAAAAAUAAGGGAAAAAGAUAAGAUAAAAAUAUACAAAACAUAUCUAAACUAUGAACCAGUUUGAUAUUGCAGUCCAACUUUUCAAAAUUUUCAUUUUAUUACUGAUCAGUAUUUCAAUUUGUUUAAUUCGAUUCAAUUAAUGAUAGUUUCAGCUCAUAUUUUAAACUAUAAAAAAAUUAUAGUUGCGAUAAUUACAUGAAGUAUACUUACUAAACCUACAAAAAUAAAUAAUAUAUAUAAAUUUUAAAAUUAAAUUAAAAUACUCUUUACUAAUUCAAAUCAAAUAAAUUGAUUUGAGAUUGCAAUGUAAAAAUUAAAAUUUUAAGAGUUUAGAUAGUCAACUCAAAAUGAUAUAUAUAUAUAUAUAUAUAUAUAUAUAUAUAUAUAUAUAUAUAAAAUUCAGACAAAAUAAUUUUUUAUUUUUAUUCAUUAAAAAAAAGUUUAUUUUUUUGUUUUUUUUGGCUAUUUAGUACUUCUUGUUUUUGUUAGUACAUAGUGAUUUGUAGCUCCAUAAAUGACAUGUCAGUUCAAUAUAAACUCAACUGCCCUAACUAACUCUCGUGUGAAUGUACUUCGAAUGUUAAUAUUUUCAUUUUGGACUUGCAAUUAAUUAUGGUUCUUCCCGUAACGAAAAUUAAAAAUUAUUAAUUUGAACAGGUUAAAAAAAAAUUAGAAAAUAAAUUAGGUGUAUAAGUAAUUUACAUGAUUUAACCCUAAAACUCUAUAAUUCUAUAUAUAUAUAUAUAUAUAUAGAAUUGAGCUAUAUAUACACGCACACUCUGAGGCAUAUAUAUAUAUAUAUAUAUACACACACACACACUCUGAGGCAUAUAUAUAUAUAUAUAGAGAGAGAGAGAGAGAGUCCGGCUACUAUAUAUGUUAUUAAUAGUAUGAAGCACUUGGUGCUAUUAAAUUUUUCGCCGUUAGAUCUAUCCUUUUGAUCAUUUUCAUCCGUUAGAUCAUACUAUUCAACCAACCACCCAGUCAAUCCUAAGGGGCCCACAUUAUCCUAACAACACAUCUCUUAAUUCAAUGGCAAAAAUUUGGUAGCACUAAUGACUUGGUGCUAUUAAUAGUAUAGUAGCCUAGUUCUAUAUAUAUAGAGAGAGAGAGUCCGGCUGGAGAACUAUCGAUCGCACCAAGGAUUUGGUGCUAUCGAGUUUUCCACCGUUAGAUUUAACCCUUUAAUUAUUUUUACCCGUUAGAUUAUACUAUUCAACCAAUUACUCACUCAACCCUAGGGGGCCCAUAUCAUCCUAACCACCAAUUUCUCAAUCCAAGGGCUAAAAAAUUAAUAGCACAAAUAGUUUGGUGCUAUUGAUAAUAUUCCAGCCAAGUUCUAUAUAUAUAUAGAGAGAGAGAGAUCUAGAAAGUUGUGUCAGAAUAUUAUUAAUAGUAUGUGAAUAAUAGGGUUUAUCUCUGUUUAAUCAAAAAAUAGUAUGUGAAUAGUAUUUACUAUAUAUUUACUGUUUUGACCAAUUGAAUGUCCAGAAUUUAGUGGAUAUUAGAAUAGUAAUAAUUUAAGAAUAAAAAAGUAGAUAGUAAUCAUUAUAUAUAUAUAUAUAUAUAUAUAUAUAUAUAUAUGUGUGUGUGUGUGUGUGUGUGUGUGAAAAUUCCUAUUAUAGUUUCUGUCGUCAUUUAUUUUUAAUGAGUUCUUAUGUACCUUCUAACUACUAUUAACUAAUCACACUAUCUAACUACUAUUAACUAGUCACAACCCUAAAAGGUGAAAAUAAAGUGUAUAUACACACUAUCUGCUGUGUUACUAUAAAGUUGACCAUUCUCAUUCACAUCUUUUUGUUUCACGCCUGUUAAAACAAAUAUUUUUGUAACUCCCAUGCGAGUAUGAUCCUGCUUUUAUGAUACACCUUUAUCCCCAAGUGAACUAACUUUAACUUUGUAUUAAAAUAUAUAAAAAAUAAUGGUACUAUUAAAAAAUAAUAGUGUAUAUAUAUAUGCACAUGUGUGUGUGUGUGUGAACAGUUAGGUGUACUUAAAAGCAAAAAAAGAACAUGCAUGGUUUCUCCUUUGAUACGAUUAAAUAAAUGAAUCUUGUUGCAGUGACAGUUGGAGAGAACGUGUGAGUAAUAAAAUCUCAUUAAUUAUUUGAUAAUUAAUCGAUCCUGGAGCUUUAUGUUAGUAUUUAAAAGUUUUUUUUUCAAUUUAAUUUAAUAAACUAUUGAGUUGUCAAACUUGCAUAUAAUUAUAAUAUUUGGUUCGUCCAAGAAAAUUUAAAUAAAUAUAAUAAGCAUGCGGGUGUUUGGAUUCUUUUGGAAAUUAAUAUAACAUUUUUUUUAUGGUAUAUAUGCUAAUUUUGAAAUUAAGUGAUUCAAACAAAAAUGGGAAAUGGUACAAAUUUUAAGACAUCAAAUUCCCGCUAAAAUUUGAUUUAUCCUAUUCUUAUAAAUAUGGUAUACAAUUUGCUUCUCAAUCUCCUAUAAAUUAGUUGUGUCAAAAUUAAAAUAUUUUGUUAUAAUUAAUUAUGUAAGUGCAAAUUAAAUUUGAAAGGAAUAGCAUUAUCGUUUUACACUUAAUUUCAAAAUUAGCAUUUAGCUAGAACAAUUCUUACGAUAAAUCUUAUAAUCAAGUGGUGUAAGAAAACCCCACUUAAACUUGAUUUAUCCUAUUCUUAUAAAUAUGGUAUACAAUUUGCUUCUCAAUCUCCUAUAAAUUAGUUGUGUCAAAAUUAAAAUAUUUUGUUAUAAUUAAUUAUGUAAGUGCAAAUUAAAUUUGAAAGGAAUAGCAUUAUCGUUUUACACUUAAUGAAACACCUUAUAUUUAGCUAGAACAAUUCUUACGAUAAAUCUUAUAAUCAAGUGGUGUAAGAAAACCCCACUUAAACUUCCCAAUAAUCAAUAUCAUCUUAUAUUUUCCUUUUAGACAAUUCAUUUGCGAGCCAAUUUUGUCGAAUAAUCUCCUAUUUGGCCACCACAUGAUCGAAAUCAAGAGUCAAAUGUAUAUAAUAUAAAUGGCCACAAAUCAAUCUUCACAAGGUAUUAGUUAAUGAGUAUUGUAAAUUACUUCUAGUUAGGAUUGUUAUCUAAGAAAUUAAUCUCAUAGAAAACAACUCAGCAAUAGUUUUAACACUGACACAUACUUACGGACGUGUGUACAAAUAAAGAAAAACACGUGAAGCGUUAAACCCACUGUGUUUUGGAACUUACAAAGCGUAGUAUUGACUCUAAUCGAUCGCAUCUUACCCGAAAAAAUCGGCCUUAUAGAAUAGGGCAUGAAAAAUAGUUUUAAGAAGAAUCAAGAAAUAUUAAAAGGUGGGUACGUGAAGUUAUUGUCUUUUGCUUCUUCUUCUUCUUCUUCUUCUCAUUGCAUGUUCCCGUAAAAUGACAAAAACAGAAAACAGGAAAAAACAGUGCUUAGUGUCUCCCAGUUGGAUAAUACAGUACUUAGUACCUAACUAAAUACACAAAGAAAAGGACAAAGUUUGGUCUUUUUGUUAAUUAACACAUAAAGAAGCCCCUUAGACAAUUUUUUUGAUAUUAAUUAGUAGCUAACAUCUGUUACUAUAUAUAUAUAUAUAUAUAUAUAUAUAUAUAUAAUGUUAUAAAUGUACCUACAUAAAAUUAUCAGAUUGUACGAGUGGUAGGUAACGCCAACUAUGAUAAAAGAUAAAAAAAUGAUCAUGAAUUGAUGAUGCACUUAAUUUAUGGGACUAAAAUGUACACAAGCAUGUGUUUGGACGCAUACGUGUCCUUAAUUUAAUUUUUCUUUUCUUGGUUAUACAAAGAUGAUGAUCACGAACCAAAUCGAUCGGCCAUAUUUAUCUCUUUUUCUCGUCUUAAGACACGCGCACACAUUAAUGAGAAAGAAAAAGGGAUUGCCACGUUUAAAGCUAAUUGGAAUCAAUCAAUUAUGCAGUUCUAAUUUUUGUGUGAGUGAGCUGUUCAUCUCAAUCUUUCUCUCUGCAGCUUUUCGUAUGUGAGAAAAGAAAUUUGUUUUGCAUGCGGGAAAAGUAAUUUCGAUCUCCUAAAGCUUAAGUUGCUAAAAAGAGCAUUACUUGGUGCAGAAACAAAGAUUAAAGUGUCAUGUACAUGACCUCCUUAGAUUUAUGCAUGGUUUUCCACACUUUGUUGUUUUGAUUAUGAAAUUUUCUAAAAAAAUUAUCCCAAUCUUUACGCUAUUAUUAUUACUAAUAUUUGAAAGCAAACCGUGAGAGCUUGAAGGUCAAAUAUUCAACCAGGAUCAGGCCAUAUUAUAUAUAAAAAAAAUACAGUUUUUGAUCUCUAUAUAAAGAAGUUAAUAUAUUUCAUGCAUGAAGUGUUGCUGAGUAUAGAUGAGGACGAUUCUCUUUUGAAUUUUACAACACCCAAAAAAUCCCUCCUAGAGCUAAUCAAGAUUUUUGUUUUUUUUGUUUUUUCCAACCAAAAAGCGGAGGCUAAAUAAUUUAUCUUUUUAACAAAGGCACAGGCACAGAGGACACCGAUUUCUAACAUCUUAAUCAGUAAUGAGAAUACCAACUAACUGAUCAGCUUGAAUAUGGAUCGCAAUCAUGCGGUACAGCAAUAUUACAUGUCAAUCACAGGUGCGGUGUUGCUAUCGAUGAUCAUAUGAUAUUGCAUCAUGAAGAUCGUGACCAUUUACCACUCAAAAGAUUCCUCCUUUGCGCGAAUUUUUCUUGGUUUCCCCCUUUUUUUUCAAAGUAGCGAAUCAUUAGAUUCCAACGUCUCACCAACCCCCCUCCUCCCACACGCGCGCGCGCACACACACACACACACAAACACAAACACGCACACUCGUGCGAAUCCAAGAAAUAAUAAUCCAAGGGAUGGUUUGGGUUGACUUUGUUUGCAAAGGUUGCAACUGGGUUUGCAUCACCCAUCGCUCUCACUCCCUCCCCUCCUUUUUUUUAAGAUCUAGUAGGGUCGCAAUAUUGAGGACAAUAAUUAGGUAUAAUAACGAUAAGAAAGAAAUAAGCGAAACAGAUAACAUAUUAUUUUCUUUUUAAAAUAUAAUAAUAAUAAUAAUAAUAAUAAUGAUCGGAAAGUAUUCUCGAUGUUUCACAUCGCUAAAUAUGAUUUUGAAUUAUUUUUGUGAAUCGAAAAGUCUUCGAUCGACGAUGCUGUUUUCGAAUCAACGUCUCGUGUGGCUUAAUAUAAUUUUGAGCAUUUCAACUAUUAAGAAACUGAAUAGUAUAAUUUUUAAAAAUUAUUGUCAAGUUCCUCGGGUGAGGAAAGAAUAAACAGGCCAAGAUUAAACGACUUUUUGAAAAUAGUGAAUCAAGUUUUUUAAUUCAAUAUUGGAGUUAUUGGUUUUAAUUUAGAUACUGAAUAGAAUUUUGAUUUCGGUUCUUCUGCAAAUUUUUUUUUAUAUAUAUUCUACACUGUUAAAGUAAAAAAAACGCUGCAUACUGGCCCUUAAUUAAAGUUUUCAAUUUUCUGUUUUUUUUAUUGUAAGAAAAAAGAUAUUAAAAUUUAUAAAAUUAAAUUUAUAAAAAAUUUAAAUGCUCUAAAUAAUAUUUAAUGACAUAGAUCGUCAAAUUUUAAAAUCUAUUAUUAAAAAUAACUUACAAUUAUGAAAACGGUCAUGCUAAUUAAUAAUACUAUAGUAGCUGCACUCCAAUAAUUAAUAUGACUUGUGAUUUUAUCUAGUAUUUCUUUGGUAUGAUUGAAGUUUUAAAAAAAAAAAAAAAAAUGUUGUCAGAUGAGAGCUGUUACGAACGGUCGUCUUUUUUUUUUUAUUAAAAAAAUGUCCGACAACUCUUUAAUAAAGUUAAGACUCAAAAGCCAUUUCAAUUCUAUUACACAUUAAAAACUCUAUACUUUUUUUUUUCUUUUUUUGGCCGAAUGUUAGGAAAUCGAAAUUCAACAAAACAAAAGACACAGACACCUCCCUUUUCAUCUAUACAAAUAUAUCAGAAAACGAAAGAGAAAAUUAUAAUGCAAACGAAUCAGCGUUAUUAAUUCAAAAAAGGGUUAGGAUUAUUCAUUAGUGUUCCAUUUGAAAGGUAGUUGAGGAAGCCUUUCCGAGCCCACGAAUCCAUCCUAUUCCAGUGCAUUUCUUUUUUGGCCUCUUGCAUUCUCAACAACCUGUAUUUCUCUUUCAUUAUUUUUCUGGUGUUAUUUGUCGAAUGAAUGACGGAGAAAUGCUAUGACGAAAACAACCACCUAAGUUGCGUCGUAAGCCCCGACGCUUACAACAUUAAUCCUUUUUCACCAGAUUAAAAAGUUCUCCUUUUAUGUCAAAGAUCAUACAAGAGCUAGAUGAGACCAUACUCCCAGUGGUUUACAAACAAUACAAACAACUCGUCUGAUAACUACAGGAUAGGACGAGAAGGGCACAGGAGCCAAAAGUUAGAACAGUAAAAACCAAAAAAAAAAAAGAAACCAAAAAUGAAAUAAAAGAGACCCUCUUUAUGUAGUAACAAGCUCUACCUAAAAUCAGACGAAAAAAACAGCUCUAACCACUGGCUAACAAGAUAUAACUGCAGCAGCCUAUAUAUAUACUCUCGAGCUAAUUGGAACGUGAAUGAGAAACUCCGGAUUAGCCUGCAGAUGCAGCAAGAAAAGGAUUUGCUGAUCGAGGAUACGAGAAUAGCAGAUGUAUCUCCACCAACAGUUUCUACCAAAGCCCCUAAGAAGAGUUCAGUCUCCAGAUACAUAAGUUUUGCCCUCGUAGUACUUCCUCUCACUCGCUUCUUUCUUUUCAUUCCGUUUCUGUGCACAUCAAAUAUUUUGAGCCAAUAACAUCUCAAGAAAAGAAGAAGAAGAAGAAGAAGAAGAAGAAGAAGAAGAAGAAGAAAAGCACGGAACUGUUGAACAUAGGUUGACAACCAAACAUGCCACCUACUGCUUAUAUAUUUAUAAUUCACGUGGAAAGACAUGUCCUGAAAAAAAGUUGGCACGAAAUAUUGGUUCUCAGCAAACUUUGCUAUUAAAUGACACAUAAUAUGUUAAGGUUGUUACCAAUUAUGCCAUAAACUGGUGUUUUAUUGACAAUGAGGAACUUGGAGAUUAAUGUUGCUAAGAAAGAUGGUACGCAGGUAACACGGAAAUCAUUAUUUUCGAUAUCAAAGGAAUUUACUAAGAUAUUACCUGAUAUGCCUCAUGAUUGGCAACAAUCCUCUUGAUAAUAGUACUAGUUGUGAUGUCUAAAGGGCUUUCUAGUUGCUGGUAGAUGCCCAUAGCCAUUGGUACCGCAUAUGGGUUUGACUCGUCCUGGAAAGUAAUCCAUAUACUAUGAUCAACUACUGAUAACUUUUCAGAGUGUAAGAUUAUGCUGUCUUGGGCAAUUAUAAGAUACUACCUUCCGAAAAUCCAUGUUUUCAGCAAUGGUCCCAUGUACAACCAACGAGAUAUUAAAUGUAGUAAUCUGCAAAAGAACAAAAUUUAAAAAUUGUUAAUAUUUCAGCUUCCAGCAAAAGAUGAGAGAGCGAGAAAAGAAGACUUAAUGACCCAGUUGGUAAUAUCACUAAAUGAUAAUAGAAAACAGAUGCUGAUGAAAUAUUCGCUGUAUUUAUGACAUUUGUUUAGGCCUCUAGACCUAGUAUUUACAAGCAUUCAGAUGACUGACUAUAUAGUAUUUCAAUCAAGGAUUUAAGAACCCAUCCGCAAGGGCCAUAGCCACCAUGCCGAUAAGAUAUCGGCAUGAUAUGACCCAUGCCUCAAAACUCCCGCUUCUUUGAAAUUAGUAAAUAGUUAUCUCAAUAAAGUUCAAAAGAUUUGACAAACAUAUAUAAUAAGCAAUUAGAGUAUACUGGUGCCAAAGAAAUAAAUAUUUCACACCAUUAGCUGUCAGGAAACAGAUUUUUUUUUUGUGAUUAGUACACAUCAGCACAACAUGGCACACACCGUGCCGCACCGUGCAAGUCAGAUUUUCGACACGACCCCCUGCCACGGCACUUACAUCCUUGUUUUCAACAUAAUUGAAUUGAUUAAUAGUAGAAGCUAAGAAGCAAACAAUAUUUGCAGCUGUUACCAGAAUGGUGAUUAGGAAAGCAUUUUCAGAAGACAGAACAAAGAUUCAAUAAUCAUUUUGAACCAAAAUUGCACUUUUGCAUUUCAUGUUGGACCCCUCCUCAAAUUUAGCAAAAUUUUGUAAAAUAAUCUCCAAAUAUAGCAAAAUAUUCAAAUCCUCAACUAAACGUCUCCAAUUUUGCCAAGGUAGGUAGCACAAAUCUCCUUAACUUAUGUGCAACACCAAAAAUAUGUUGAACUGUAACUCUCAUGCUGGAACUGUUCAUGAUAGGAGACAUGCAUAAACUAUUCAAAGUGUGUUCACGCACAACUAGUUUUAAGAUAAAUCAAAUUGCCCCUAGAUAUGCUGCAGCAACAGAUAUGCCCUUUUGAUUGCAUUCUUUGCAAUCAAUCCACCUCUCAAUACUGGGCAGCUUUUAAUAUUGAGUUCUUCUUUAAACUACAUUUAUCAUUUGAAAGAAGCAUCCAAUAUAUUUCACAGCUUUCAGAAAAAGGAAGGGAGAAAAAAAAAAGAAAAAAAAAGAAGAGGAAAUAAGAAGCAAGAUAAAAGAAAAUGACUUACCAUAUCUUUUGAAAUUUCCCAUGGGGCACCAAUAAUCACUUCAUCCACAUAACGACAAGCCAAAACACUCAAGCUUCUCUCAUGAAGAUUCAUAAUGGGGCGAUGGUGUCCACGAGUAGCACUGCAUAUGGCAUGUUAACACCAAAUUACUUUUUAAGCUGACAUCAUGACAAAAGCACAGAAAAAUGACAAGGACGCAACAAUGAAGUACCAAAAUAAAAACAGACCCAGCAUGAUCAGGUUAAUGAAGUACCAAAAUAAACAGACCCAGCAUGAUCAGGUUAUUGAAACCAAACAACUAUGGCCUUUUGUCCUCUUAUGGAGUUCUUACAUAAAUGUCAUGGUCAAAUGGAUGCAACUUUAGCAUUAAAAUCAUUGAUAAUCUAGCUCACCUUACUAUAGUUACCAGAAACAAACAUUUAAACCACCAAAAUAAGCCAAAUACUCACCACCUUGCUAGAUCAACCAUUUCCAAGCAGUGUUUUCAUUAAAUAUUUAUGAAACACUGCUCUUUUUUGUGCUCAUACCUAACCCUCUUCACCCCCUGAAACUAAUAAGACUGAAACAUAUUCACAUGAGAUACGAAGAGCACGACAUGGUCCCCCCAAUGUUUGGAGGAUGAGAAUAGGAGAUCACCAAGAAGCUUUGUACUUGGAAAUAAAUUUAAUUCUGGUCUCACAGCACAAAUGAUCAAUUGCACUAUAAACCACCAACAACAAUGGACGAUAACAGGAGUUCCCCACCCCCCAAAAAAAAAAAAAUCUUAUUUUGAAUAAAACUGUCAUUUAAACCAGGUUUAAGCUAAAUAUCUUAAACCACAAUUACAACAAAGAUGUUUACAAUGUAAUCUAAUCUAAAAUAUUGAUAGGGGCAUAUGUAAAAAAUUCAACUUUUGUAGGGGUAUUUAUGAAAUUUCGAUCAUUUAGAGGAUCACUUCACGAACUGCUUCACUUUUCAACUUUCCGACUUCUGAAACCAAACCAAGAAGAAAGAUUUUGGAACUAAAUAAAACUGCAUAUACCGACAUUUUUAAAUAACUAAUAUGUGGUUGGGUUAUUCAGUCCAUCUGAUUUUCAUUUUCUUAAGCUGAAUUCAUUUUCUUAAGGUGAAUUAAUAACCGAAAAUUGGAAACAAAAUAGGUCAUCGAACAUAACAAAAUGGAACCUUUUCCUUCAAGUAAAGCAAAUCAAAAGAGAUAAAACAUUCAGUUCACUAAUGCAGUUUCAAAUAAUGCAAAUCCCUCCUAUGGAGGGUUAAAUCUCAGGAGCCUUACUCCUGAGUAAGUUAUUUCCACAGAACACAAAAUCUUAGCAAUAUCAAUAAGCAGGAAAAGGAACCAGGAUCUGACAUAAUAUUGUAGAAGAUCAUAGGGAACCACAUCUACAGGUAGAGAGAUAGAAAGGAGCAAUGAAAAUCACCUGACCGUCUGAUCAGUAUGGAUGCCCACAAGCAAAAAAUCUCCAAGUUCUCGAGCAAUACGCAAUAUCUGUAAAAAUGAUAAAAGGUAAAGUAAAAGAAAAUGAACAGUAUUUUUUUAAUAAUAAGUUAUAACCCAAACACAUAUUUCCUUGUAAGUUGGACUAGUACAGCAUUGCAGAUCCUGUGAAUAGCAUGCGAUCCAAAAUAUCAGGAAACUUCAAAAUGACCAUUUUGGCAUUUUCUAUCAGUUAGAUUUCUAAAUUAUUUCGAAAAUAAUAUACAAAAGUAAUGUAUAAACAAUUAGAACCAAGAAAAAUGAAAACAACUGCCUGAUAAUAUUAGAAACAGUCUGAAAUGAGGAAUUGGAAUGGUCCAAACUAAUCUCCGAUGACUACCAGUCCACUAGAAAAACAAGUUGGCAUUUCAGUGACAAGGAAGGAAUUCCUUUUCAGCUACAUUCUUUUGCUUAGGUGGAAAAAAGGUUAUUUACCUCCACAUGUCCAGCAUGGAAAAGAUCAAAUGCACCAUCUAUGUAAACAAUGCGAGCAUCAGGACCUGGUCCCUGCAAGAACAACCAAUAAAAGUAGAACAAUGAACUAACAGAUCAUAUGCAUGCUCUAAGAUUUAUCCUCUCAUCAGUAGCAGGAAAACAAUGAGAACUAAGAUUAUAGGACCAUAAAAGCCUCAUAAUUUCUUGUCUACGAGAAAAAAUGUACCUUCAAAAUUAAACAACAGUACCCUUAGUAAAUUGAAAAGACUGUUUUCUGUCUACACUUGAUUUUCCAAGCAGAAUUUUCUAAGUCCGCCAAUUUAUGAAAGAAUAAUCAUGCUUAUGAGAGNUCGGUAUUAUAGAUAGUAUAGUAGCCUAGCUCCAUAUAUAUAUAUAUAUAGAGAGAGAGAGAGAGAGAGAGAGAGAGAAAGAGAGAGAGGGGGGGGUGGGGGGCAGGGGAGGUGUGAUUGCACAUUUUAUUUGCUAUAAGCCAUGAGAAUAGUUACCAUCAACAACCAGUGACAAAAAUAAACUAAAAGAUAACUGCAAAUAUAAAUAGCAAGGCACCAGCCACACAACCUUUUUGUUUUAGCAACCAGCUUAACUUAGUAAGAUCUUUUAUAUAACCUUUGUAGCAAUAAUGGACAAAUAUUUGCAAAAUCAAUUGCAUGAUGUAAACUUCCAUGCGAUAACAUAAUACGCUGACAAAAAUAGAUGGAGAACAAAUAGAAUGGCAAAAGGAGAAAAGAUGAUGAUUAUUAGCAGCUAUUUUAGCCAGACUUCUAGAACAAUCUUCCUAUUCCUAAAGUAGAAAUCAGCCAUUCGGAAAACAAGACUGUUGGAGUUCCUGCAAUGGAGGGAACCUGAAAAUGAGCUCUUGGCACCAAAGCAGAAGCUCCAAUUUGAAACUUUUGCUUCUGUUGCUGUAUGAUUUUAAUCAAAAAACUUUCCCACAUAAAUAAGCUUUCCCUCUCUACGGAGUUGGUUUAUGAUUGAAUUGUCACAUGAGACUAGUAUUACAUCUAAAUAUUGGUAAGAGACCAUCAUGGAAAAUCGUAAUAAAUUUUGUAGUUGACCAGCCAAUGUCUACAGAAAAUUAUGCUGGAAAGAGACCAAAUUAACAGUUCAACACAAAGCAAAUAAUAGAGAAGCUUUUCAUGAUUAAUUCAAAACCGUAUGAAACGAUUUUAUGAUAAGAUAGCAAUGAACUGUACCUUCCCAUUUGAGAACUGUACUAUUCGCCGGGAUGUAGGCAGAAAAUGAGAUAUCCGAGUUCCGCUUCUAGAUCCACCUUCCUCAACCUUCUGGCUGUGCCCAUGGCUAAACUGCCUUUGUAAAGAAGAAUGAUUAUGACUAUCACCAAUGGAUCUCUCCCUCACACAAAGAAGCAUACGACCUAUAGUUGGAAAAUUAUGUAUCCUGAAUGAUAGCAUAAAUUGCAAGUAACUGGGAAACUCAAAAGGAAGAAUUGAAUCCAUACCAACAAUGUCUGUGCUAGAUACUCCUUCAGUUCGUUUAAUCUGCUUAUAACGGCCAGCCUUCUUUGCAAGGGCAUAGGCAUCUGUACCAUCAGGGAGUAGGCAAGGAUCAUCUCCAUGGAUGAUAUAGUCUAUAUUAUACUCGGUGAACAGCUUGUUCAUAAAAUCUUCUGUAAUGGCAUAAGGGGCAUCUGGAAUAACCUCAUCCACCCACUUUAUAGCUCGCACCAUUAUCAACCUGUGACCACAAAAAAUAUAAGGCAAUUUGGAGAAACAGUUAAAUAUAGCUGUAUAGAGAGCAGAUUUGAAAAUGUAGUAAGAUGUUUAUAUAUUUUUUUAGAUUUCAAAAGCAUAUUUUCGUGAAGAUGUUCCACAUUGUCUUAAGCAUAAAUAAUAAAGAGGCAAACUGAAAUUGUGCACCGAUUUGCUAAUUACAAAACAGAAACAUCCUAUAAUGCCCACAUGCAUGUCGAGAACUUCAUCUAGCUGCCACCGGACUGUCAUCUGUCUCAGCCCCGGUCAUGUAAUGAAUCCAAACUUGAAACUAUGAAAGGGGGAUAUGAGCAUCACAAGGUGUCUAGAUGGAUUCUUCUGGACAUGUUCAGGUGAUGGGGAACAAUUCAAUUAAGAAUACCUACAAAACUAAGCAAAAUAUUGACAUAGUGUGUCAACAAAUACAUACAAAUCUAGUAUACUGAAACAGACAUCAGAAUGCCAUAAGUCACAAACUUGCGUACUACCAAAGAUGAAGAUGUAUGAAUCAAAGGUAAAAACUAGUUGAGGAAGUUAUAGAUGUCAAUAGAUGACAUUGUUAUGACCAUUGGUGACGAGGACAUCAUAUUAAGAGUCAGUUUAGUUAAAUUGAAAUUGAUCCAUCUUGACUACUGAAACAUGGUAGAAUGAGUCUAGAAGGAAGCCAAUGUUAGUCCAUUAGGGCCAAACAGUCACUUUGCGUCUCAAAUGACUCAUCAAGUCUCAUCGCGGCAUUUGCUUCCUUCUGGCAAAAGCCACAAGACCAUGGAUACCCCGUUUGGCCAUAGCCAAACAAAAAAGGCCCAAUCACCCAUAUGGAAGACCUCUUUUUUAUUUAACCAUACUUUGUUCUCCUUAGUUUGGUGGUAUUUCCUCGAUUUUCCUCCUCUUUACCAGAAAAUUCCUGUGAUCCCAAGAUCUUCUUCCUCUACUAAAUACAAAUUCUUUAUGUUCUAUCACAAAACUUUGACUUCCCCCAAAGAUGACCUCAAGGCAAUUAGACGACCAAGCAAUCAGCCGCAAGGGAAAACCCAUAGGGAUCAUGAGUUCCGAAGUUUCAACUACUGAUCUACAAACCUAGACAGGCAGAGUAUCAACUUCUAAUUUCCUAAUUAGACAACAAUUAUUAUACUGCCUUAUCUACUGCGCCAAGUGACAAGGUUAGUGGGUCCUCAUGCAUGGAGAGGCACCCUAGUCUGCCUAAGCACAGGAAACAGCAGUACCACGAGCUACCAGGAGAAUCUGGUCUCAUGACAACAUUGACAUGAUAAUAUACAAUAAGGGAAAGACAAAUUAAACAAUUGAUCAAGCCCCACAAUAAAUGUAGAACAUGAAAAAAUAUAUACAUACUUAAUCACACUAAUUUACCAGAAGAACAGCUGUGUUCCACUUAGAUACGUAACAAUGGUUGGUCCAAAAAACUUAACUCUUCUAGAUCGAACCAUGCACUUAGUUAUAUAGAACUAUCAAAUUAAGAUCAAAUACAAUUGCUCAUUCAGAUGCAUCAUAGCAUGCAAAUGCAGAAACAAAAACCAAUAAAAAGUACAAAUUUAAAACAAGAAGUAGAUGGGGAAAAAAAAACCAUAUACAUCAUCAAAUAGCGGCAAAUUAAACAAGCAAACUGUCAAAAAAAAUUAAUUACAAAAACUGAAAUUCACGCAUCAAGUAUCACUUCGUUAAUCCAAACGAUUACAGGGCUCAUCUAAAGUAGAAUCGCUAGGAGAAAUAUAAAAAAAUCGACCUCUCAUGGAGUGGGGUCACGGGGGGGCCCUUGUUGGCGGUGAUCUCGUCGUCGCUGACGACCCCAACGACGAGCUCGUCGCCGAGCGCCCGCGCCUGGCGCAGCGCGUUGCAGUGGCCGUAGUGCAUCAUGUCGAAGCACCCGUCCAUGUACACCCGCACCGGCCUCGUCUUCUUCUUCCUCCUCCGCCACCACCACGUGUACGGCGGCGUCGGCCGCGGCGUGGCGAGGCCGAGGUGGAAGGCGAGGGCGGAGACGCCGACGACGAGGCCACCGAGGAUGAGCGCCGCGACGAAGCGCGAGCUCGCGGGGGCCUCGGGAUCCAUAGGAGAGGAAUUAACCGCGAGGAAGAAAAGGAUGACGAGGAGGUUUCGGAUCUAUGGCUUUUUUGGAAACCCUAGCGUUCGCAGAGACGAGGAGGCUCUCGAGCUCGCGCCAUUGGAGGAGGCUUCGCGAGGAGAGAGAGAAAGAGAGAGAGAGAGAGAGAGAGAGAGGGCUGAGGUUUGGGGGGUAAAUAUAUACGUCUUUGGAGGGUAAUAACGGUGGUUGCAAUGGAAAUGACGAGAAUAGUUGCAUGGACCCGGUGUAUCAUGCACCCCACUCCCUUCUAAACCUCCAAUUCAGAGCUUUUUAAAUAAAGAAUUUAAUCUCUUUCUCAAAAUUAAGAAUUUUAUUUAGUAGAUGUUUUAUUAUUACAUUAAGCCAACCACUUAAUGCGUAAAUAAUAUGCUUUUAAUACUUGAUAAUUUUUUAUUCCUUUAUAAUAAAUUGAUCGCAUAUUUGUAUUUAACUUAAAUUGAUCUGGCUUAGAAAUGGAUGGAUUCGUUUAAUUCAUUUAUUAAACUAUUUAUAUUCAAGCUGACCCACAUAACCAACUUGAUGUAAUUUAAAUUGUUCAAAACACAUGAUUACAACAUUAAAUUUAAGAAUCUAAAUUUUAAAUUAAUAUUUUUUUAUUUUAAAUAUUAAUUAGUAGGAGCAGUUACGUGGUGGACCUUUAUAGCUCCUACCAUUCAACACUGUCUACGUGGCACUCUAGCAACCGUUAGAUACAAGCAUCACGUUAAGGUUUUUUUUUUUUUUGAGGCGGUUUGAGGACGUUAAUUAAUUAUUUAAAUUCGUGAUUUGAAUUCUAUUGUGGACGUGUGUCUUUGUACGUCUUUAUCGUGUUAGUUUGGAUUUUUGUUUUUUGUCUUUAUUAUUGAUAGAUUUUGGGGAAAAUGUACAAUGAGCCUAUAAACUAUAACACGAUUAUAAGUAGAUCCCUACACUUUAAUUUUAGUAAUUUUAGGGGAAUGUUGAGGAAGAUCCAAAAAAGCAUGCCAUCACAUGUCUUAUAUAUAAUUUUAUGCAAUUUGAAAACACACAUGAAAUUUUCUUUUCUUUUGUAGUUAUGAUAAUUAAGCAUGAAAAGUAGAUUGAAUCAAUUUUUAUUUUUUAUUAUUUUUUGUGCAGAAUAUAAGAAAUAAGUUUUUUGUAUUUUAAAUCUUUAUAAGAUUAUAUGCAGUACAAGCAACCAAAAUAACUAUGUUGUUAUUACUUUGAUUGAGAAUAAGAGUCUAGUGUAUUGUUGACAAAAUUUAUAGUGUAUAAUUGCUAAAAUAAUUACGAGUUCAGAUAUUUAUUUGCAAAAAUGCUAAAGUUUGUGGGCAUGUAUAUUUUUUCCUCCUAGAUUUAAUUUAAGAAAGAAAAAUAUUAAAAUAUUAUCUAUACAUUUAGGGAUGUAAAUCCUAAACUCCAAAAUUUAAGGGUUAAUAAAAUCCUCAUAAAUUUUAUUUUUUUUAAAAAAAGAGAGAAAAAUGGAGAAAUAUGGGCCACGAGGACCCUCUAGAUGUAUGAUCUACACCUACCUACUCUAUAGGUGUAUGAAUAAUAUUGCUCUCAGAAAGAAAUAUGUACAGAGUGCUUCUGAAUUUGCAAUAAUUUCAAUUUAAACAAUCAUUUUUGUUAUUUUAAUAUACAAAAAAUAAUAAAAAAAUACACGGAUGUUUACUUUAUUCUUCAAUUCUUACGUUAAUUAUUGAAACUAAAAGAUAAAGAAAUAUGAUUUUUUUUAAUAUAUUUCAAAGUGUGACAAUAUUAUAUGCAAAAUUUGCAAUCAAAACAACUGUACAAUAACUUAAAUUGAGAUGAACAAUCAACUGAACUAUUUGAUAAAGUUUAGAAAAACUAACAGCCAAAUAAAAAAGUUCUAAUAUGCAAAAGUGCUAAUGUUUAUUAGGGAUUUUAUAAUUUUUUCACUUUCAAUUUUAUGUGGUAAAGAAGAAGGAUAUGGAGAUGACACGUGGAAUUGUUUUAAGAAAAAGAUGGAGAGAGAGAGAGAGGUGCAGGUGCGAGUCAAAGAUCGGCUGAGAACGUGACAUGGGAUAAUCUGGAAGGAUGCUGCGUUUCCGCAAACUAAUUAAUGCAACACGCACGUAUCAUAGACUUCUUUUUCAAAACGGUCCUAUAAAUUUUUUUCAUUGAAAAAUUAAUUUAAAAAUUUUUUUUGAUAAACUUUUUUUUUUUUUUGUCAUAUAAAAACGACGUUGAGACUUUCUCUUAAAAACGGCGAAUAGUUUACCGUCUUUAUAAAGAUAGUUAACGAUUCAGCACUUUCUAAUUUUUAAUAAAAACGGUGAAGUAUUCACCGUCUUUUUUUUAUUUAUUGUUUAUUUUUAUAUCUUAUAUAUAAUCUUAACAAUUAUAUAAAAAUUUUAACAAAUAAGAGACUUUUAAAAUGCGGUGAACGAUUUACUGUGUUUUGAAAAAAAAAAAAACCUACGUGGCUGCUACAUGUGGGNUAGCAAAAGACUCUUUUUGCUAUCAAGUUUUUACUUUUUGGAUUAAUUUCUUUCAUCAUUUCUAAUCAUUGGAUUAAAUAUUAUAACCUAAUGGAGACUACUCAAUUCUAGGGGACUACUCAAUUCUAAAGACUAAUAUCAUUCUAGCCCUCUCUCGCUCUUUCUCUGUCUCUAUAUAUAUACGUUUUAUUCACAAAGAGAAGUAGCUUAAAUCAUAAUAUUUUAAUGGCUAAAAUAAGGUAAUUUUGAAACUACUUGAUUAACAGGUAAUUAAAUAAUUUUUAAAAAUUAUAAAAUUUAAAUUUUUAAAAAUUUAAAUAAUUUAAAUUAUUUUUAAUGAUGCCAAUUAUUGAUUUGAAUACUCCAUAAUUGAAAACUAUAUGAAAAUAAAUGACUCUAUUAAUUUAUUCCAUAAAUAUUCUAACUUUACUCUAGCAUAUGUACAUUAUAGAAUUUAUUAUACAUAGAAAAAUAUUUUAGGUUGACAAAAUGUGUUACGUUAACAACCAUGUGCCAUUAUUAGAUUCUAUGCAUAAACUAAUUAAACUUUCAUCUUUUCUAUUCCAAUACAUCAGCCGAUUAAAAGAAUAAAGAGAACUAAUAACAAAUAAGUUUUGAGAAAUAAUUUGAUACUUUAUUUUAUAAAAAAUAAAAAGAUUUUAACCAUUGAUUAAUGAAGGUUAAAAAUAUCAUUUUAUUACAUAACAGGUUAAAAGGUUAUUUGGUGUGAGGGUAUUUUUAUAAUUAGGCAAAAUUUUAAGAAAAUUUUGAUUAAUAUUCAAAAAUUAGCAUUAAUUUUGUACUAAUUUAAGCAUUAAUUUAAGAUUUGAUUGAUAUUUCAAAUUUUAGGCAUUAAUUUUAGAAAUUUUAGAAUUCUUCUAAUUUAGGCAUUAAUAUAAAUUUUAGGAAGUUUAGAAAUAGUAAUGUUUCUAAAUAUGUUGAAUUUAAAUAUUUAAUAUUUAAAUUUAUAAAUUUAUUAAAUUUAAAUAAGAGAAAUUUUGUGUUACUAUUUUAACAAAUUUAAUGUUGAUAAUAACGAAUUCAACAUAUUUAAUUUGUUUAAGAAACUUUUAAAAUUCUCUAGUUUAUAUAUUAAUUUUUUAUCACAAAGUUAAAAAAAUUUGAAUAUAGGGAAAAAAAAUUUAAAUUCAACGUAUUUAAUAUGUUGUAAUAUUUUUUAAUAAAAUAUCUAUGAAUUACGGAUAUCAAUGUAUAUGAAUAUUCAUAAUUUUAUCUGAAUCCAAACCCAAACUCGGAAGCAAACAUAGUGGAUUUACCUAUACUAAAUGAAUAUAAUUUUGGAUAUGGAUAAAAANGACGAUCGGCUCCGUUAGACUUGAUCUAGAGUAUUUGAAGUAUCUAGAAAAUAAAUUUUGCGAUUUUUCGAUAUCAUUUGCCUAGUGAUCGAAGUGGCUCAAAAUUAACGGCUGAAAAUAAAAAUCUUACAAAAUAUGAUAAUAUGACAUUAAAAUUUUAGAUCGAAGUUAUUGAUCUUGUUUUAUAUGGUAUAAAGAAUUUUCUAUCAAAAUUUCAUGUGAUUUGGAUAUUUCUACACCGUUAAACUUGCAACCGGCUCACCACGGCCGUUAAAAUUAUUGAUUUUGAGCCCCUUCGAUCACUAGGCAAAUGAUAUCGAAAAAUUGCAAAAUUUAUUUUCUAGGUACUUCAAAUACUCUAGAUCAACUCUAACGAAGCCGAUCGUCGAUUCGAAAGUCCGAACAUCGAAAACAAAAUGGAAGCACAGAGGCCUCAGUGCUUCCAUAAGCAUACCAGCACAACUCUAUAUAUAUAUAUAUAUAGAGAGAGAGAGAGAGAGAGAGAGAGAGAGAGAGAAUCUGGGAUACUAUCGAUAAUACCAAGCCUUUGGUGCUACCGAGUUUUCUGCCGUUAAAUUUAAUUUUAUAACUAUUUUUGCCCGUUAGAUUAUACUAUUCAACCAAUAACUUACUCAACCCUAAAUAUAUAUAUAUAGAGAGAGGGAGAGAGAGUUAGGCUGGUAUACUAUCGGUAGCACGGAGGCCUUCGUGCUGCCAAGUUAUAUUCAAUGAUGCGGCUUCCAAAUCGAUGAUCGACUCCGUUAGACUUGAUCUACACUAUUGAAAAUAUUUGAAAAUUAAAUUUCAUAAUUUUUCGACAUUAUUUGACUAGUAAUCAAAAGGUCUUAAAAUUAAUAAUUUUAAUGAUCGAUGUGAUAUAUUUGUGAAUUUAAUGGUGUAAAACAAUUCAAAUCUUAUAAAAUUUUUAUAAUUUUUUUUCACUAUUUAAAGUAAGAUCAGUAAUUCUGAUCCUAAAUUCAAGUUUUUUAUUAUCAUUUUUUAUGAAAAUUUUAUUUUCAUCCGUUCAUUUUUAGACUACUCGUUUGAUAGGUAUUUUUUGUUAGAAUUUUAUCCCGAAUGAACUUGGGAUAACUUAAGUAGCGUUUGGUUCUGGGAUACGGGGAUAAGGGGUUAUCCCCUCUAGUCCCCAAACACUUUUUGGUGCCCCCCCCUCCUCCGUGGAAUUGGGGUUGAUUAGCUAAGCCCACCUCUAUUUAAUUUAAAAUUUAAAAGUUAAAAUUUAAAAUUUUAAAAAUUUUUAAUUUAUAAUUUUAAAAUUAAUAUUUAUAAUUUUAUAUUCUAAAUUUUAAAUUUUAAAUUUUAAAUUAUUAUUUUAAUUAUUUUAAUUUUAAAUUUGAUAUUUUAUAUUUGUAAAUUUAGAUUUGAUUUAAAAUUUAAAAUUUAUAACUUUAAAUUUUUAAAUUUGAGAUUUACAAAUUUAGAUUUUAAUUUCGAAUUUUUCGAUUUUAAAAGUUUUGAAUUUAAAUUUUAAAUUUUAAAUAUAAAAUUUAAAAUUUUUAAUUCAAAUAUAAUAAUUGGGAUAAUAUUAUUACUUUCUAUUUAUAACUAACCAAUAUUCUUCUUAUUCCAUCUUAUCUAUUCAAACGCUAUUUUUUUUAUUUCGAAAAAUAACUCAAUUUUUAUUCAAAUUUAAAAUUGAUCUAUUUAAUGUCUAUACCUGAGCUCAUACUUAUUUCUGAGCUAGACAGUUUCUUACUUAUUUCGGAACCAAACGAAAUCUUUUAUAGAGUCCAGAAAUCGACCUCCACGUGUGCAUAUUUUUGAGAUUUCUUCUUCGACCUCCUUAGAGUGGAUUUCUGAUGUGAAUAUUGGAGUGGAAGGGGCGGGGAUCCGGAGCCCCCAGAUUUAUAUCAUUUAAGAAAAAAUUUUCACCUGCUUAAUUUGAUUAAUUUAUAUUUUAUCUUACAAAAAUAAUGAUCGAUCCAACUUUCUUUGUACAUCAGUGCAUCUAUGUAUGAAAAUAAUAUAACUUAUUAGAAUGCUUAGAUAAAUAAGGUCUAAUUUGGCAACGCGGCAGUUAAAAAUAUUAUUUUAUUUUAUUAAAAAAUUUAAAAAUAUUUUAAAUUUUUUUAUGCUAUAAAAUUACAAUUGCAACUGCCUCAUUUGACAAAUGCAUGCCGCACAAUUUUUUAAAAUAAAAUAAUAUAAAAUUAUUUUUAAAAAUAGAAGUGUUAACAUACUUGAAAGUACAUGCAAAUAUGUUCAAAAGAUAUGAUGACGUAAUAUAUAUCAUGUUAAAUUUGCAAUAAAUAUAAUUUUUUAUUAUUAUAAGGCCAAUUUGCAUAAAAAAUCCACUUAUUUUGGUCUUUUGCAAAAUCGGGCCAUCUUUUUGGCUUUUGCAGAUUCGGUCCGCUUUUUUAACAAACUGACCAAAAUACCCUUAUACCUUUUUCUCUUUCCUCUUUCUCUCUCUCCUCUUUUUUUCUCUCGUUCUUUUUUCUUUUUCUUCCCAGAGAGCGGCGAAGACGGAGCAGAAGUGCCCUUAUACCUUUUUCUUUUCUCUUUUUUCUCUCGUUCUUUUUUUUCUCUCUUCCCAGAGAGCGGCGAAGACAGAGCGGCGUCGCCGCCGGCGCCCCCACCUUCCUCGCCUCCGAUCCCCCUAAGGCCGGGCUGUGACUUUUUUUUUUUUGCAUUUUUCUUUUCUUUUCUUCUCUGACUCUCCUCCAUAGUUUCUGACGACGGCGCCUCUCUCGCUCUUCCCUGCCCUUCCCGUCUCUCCUUCUCCCUCCUUCUCUGCUGCCUCCGACGACAAUGCAUCUUCGCCGACACCGACGCCGACACCGUGGAGAUCACUGCGGCGCUGCAGCCUCGAAGUGGGGGGUCUUUAGCGGCGUCGCAACCCGCACCGUGGCCUAUUGCAAGAGGGUGACAAAAAAAAAAACAGAAAAAAAAAAGAUAAAAAUUUAUAUAAAAAAAAGGAUGAAGAAUGAAUAUUGGUAGUCGUUUAACUACAAAAAAAUGUACAAGUUGCACUACUUAAGAUGUAAACUGCAGCACUUUAUAAAUAAAAAUUUACACUUUUUAAAUAAAAGAUUGAAACUCUUUGGAAAGAUAUUUACAAACUGUUACUCUCUUCUGUAUUGCACUUUCAGAUAUAAACUGUCACCCAGUAAGAUAAAAAUUACACUCCUUUAAAUGAAAGUUGCACUGUUUCUCUCUGUUCCGCCACGUUUCUACUCUUUGUUCGAUCAUUUCAUCCUCUGUUACAACUAUUUUUAUCUUAAAACUCGCACCCUUCUUUAGUUAUUUAAGAGAUAUUUAACUACUUAUCCUCAUUGUUGCACUGUUUCUCGCUCUUUAAGAGGAGUAAGACAGUGCAACAAGAGGAGAAACAGUGCAAGCCAAGAGGAGAAGCAGUUGAUAAAUAACUGUUAAAGAUGUGUAGUUUAAAAUAAAAAACAAUUAAAGCGAAUAAGAGAGAAAUAGUCAACAAGAAAAAAAACUGCAUACGCCAUUUUAUCUUGAAACCGCUACUCAUAUUAAGAGAUAUUUAAAACUUGGCUUCUCCUCUUUGUUGGCCUGUUGCCUCAUUGAUUGCACUGUUUCUCCUCUUAGAAGAGGAGAAACAGUGCAACAAAGGGAGAAGCAAUAUAAAUAUCUGUUAAAGAGUAAAAAAAAAAAAAAAAAAAAAAAAAAAAAAAAAAAAAAAAAAAGGGGUUUAUAAAAUAGUUAAUAAGAGGAGAUUAGUGCAGACAAAAAAAAAUUGCACCCAUUUAGUCUUAAAUCUGACACUCAUUUAAGAGAUAUUUAUACUGGCUUCUCCUCUGUUGCACUGUUCUCCUCUGUUGAAACUGUUUCACUUCCUCUAAAGAGGAAAAACAAGUCAACACAGAGGAGAAACAGUGGGCAACCAACGAGGAGAAGGAGUAUAGAAUCUCUUAAAGAUGGUCAUUUAGAAAUAAAAAUAGUCUCGAGCCGGCGCCCGUUCGACCGCGCUGGCUGGCGCUGCGGCGACGGGAUCGGGCUGGGGGUCCGCGGCGGACGCGGCGUCUCGACGUCGUCGUGGGAGAAGCAGAGGCGCUGGUCGGCGGCUUCUGCGCGGCGGCGGGAGGAGGGGCAGCGCCGACGGAGAAGAACACGCGCGGCGCUGGUGCCGGCGCCGGUUGCGCUUCCGCCUUCCGCUCCUGCGCCCUGCCGCUUGGCCUCCCCUUCUUCUUCUUCGCCGUUGUCUUCUUCUCCGCAUCCAGCCCGACCCCGUUUGCCGCGGCCGCUGCCGCCGCGGCGACGGGAUCGGGUUGGGGGUCCGCGGCGGUGGAGGAGAGGAGGAGGGGGUCGCGGGCGGUGGAGAGAAAGGUGAGGAGGGGGGCGACGGUGAAGAAGGAUGGUGAGGAGGGAGGCGACGAUGAAGAAGAAGGCGACGGUCCGCCUUUUUUUUUUCGGCAAGAAAAAAAAAAGAACGACAGAAACGAAGAGGAGAGAGAAAGAGGAAAGAGAAAAAGUAAUAAGGAUAUUUUAGUCAGUUUGCUGAAAAAGCGGACCUAAUCUGUAAAAACGAAAAAGGUGACCCGGUUUUGCAAAAGCCCAAAAUAAGUAGAUUUUUUAUUGAAAAAGGCCUUAUUAUAAUUCAAUAUUAUUAUAAUUGAAAUAUACUUAGAAAAUUUAUAUAUAUUAAUACAUGGCCGAUUUUUUUUUUUAUUGUUGUUGAGAGAGGAAUGGUAGCAUACCAUUAUAUCAUUUAUUAUUAUUAUUAUUAUUAUUAUUAUUAUUAUUAUUUUGUAAAUAAAUUUAGUUGAAAAUAUAAAGGAAUAGACUUGGUACUUGAAACCUCGUAUACCAACAUAUUUGUUUUUAAUAAAGAAAAUCAUAUGUAACUAUAAUGGCAUAAACUUCUCGCCUUUUCCUUGUUUUUAUACAUUUCUCUUUAUCAACAAAUUUAGGUAGUGUUUAUAGGAGGGAAAAAAGAAUUUCUUAUUUAUUUAACAACAUAUAAAAGAUUUGUUAAUUUUCAAAUUUAACAGGUUUGAAAAAAAAGAGAGGAUGCGAGAGGAUUUAGGAUUUAAGGUUUCUAUCUGGAGGAAGUCGAAAGAGAUAAGAGUUUCUCAUUUAUUUAAUACUAUAUAGAAACUUUGUCAAUUUUCAAAUUUAUAAGAUUUGAAAGAAUGAGAGAAUGUGAGAAUGGAGAAGAUUUAAGGUUUAAAAUUCUCUCUUGAGAAAGAAAGAAAAAAGAGAUAUUCUAAAAUUAGAAAAAAAAAAUCAUCACAACAAUAAAUUCAUGAUUUAGCGGCAUUUACUCCGUAGUAUUUAUUUAAAUAACGCUAAUUAAUAUAUUUAACAGUAUUACUUGAUAAGUGCAGCUAGAUUUAAUAAUUUAGUCGCAAUUUGCUAUUAAUAUUAUAAAAUAGAAUAAAUUAGCAGCAUAAAUUAGUGAAAGCUGCUGAAGUUUUCAGUAUUUUAUAAAAUAUGACAUUAAAUGUAAUAAAGUAGCAGCAUUUAUUGCUAAAUGCAGCAAUAUUUGCUCCGCAAUAUUUAUUUAAAUUAUGCCAAUUAAAAUAUUUAGCAGUAUUAUUUGAUAAUUGCAGCUAGAUUUAAUUGUUUAGCGGCAAUUUACUAUUAAUGUUGCAAAAUAGAAUAAAUUAACAGCAUAAAUUAGUGAAUGCCGCUAAAUAUAAUAAACUAGCUGCACUUGUUACUAAAUAUCAUUACUAAUUAAUAUAUAAUUAUUAAUAUAUUUCUUUUUAUUUAGAAUUAAAAAUUUUAAAAUUAAAGUUUAAAAUUUGAAACAUAUAAUUUUAAAAAUUAAACUUAUAAUUUAAAAUUUAAAAUUUUAAAAUUUAUAUUUUAAAUUUUAAAUUCUAAAAUUUUUAAUUUUUAAUUUUUAAUUUUAAUUUUAAAAUUUUAAUUUUAAAAUUUUAAAAUUUAUUUUAAAAUUAAAAUUUCAAAUUUAAAACUAUUAAUUUUGAAACUUAAAAUUUGAUAUAUGAAAAUUAAAAAUUUAAAUUUAGUAUCUAAAUUUAAAAUUUUAAAAUUUUAAAAAUUUAAAAUAUAAGACUUAAAAUUUAAAAAAUUAAAAUAUACAUAAUUAAUAGUCACUAGGGCAAGUGGCAAAGGGCUUGGUGGUUGAUACUCGAGGUCUCAAGUACGAAUUCUAGUUGAUUUAUAUUUCAAGUAAAGUUUAUUUCUAAAAAAAAUAAACAAAGCAGGUAGCAUAUAAAAAAAAUUAAAAAUUAAAUUUGAAAUAAAAUUAAAAUUUUAAAAUUUUAAUUUUUAAAAUCAGAUAUUUGUAUUAACAGCAUUAUAUUUAUGUGCCACUAAUAAACAAUUUAAAAUUAGCAUUUAAUCUCUUUUAACGGUAUGUUCCUAAUGACACUAAUUGAUUUAUAUUGGCGGCAUUUAUUUUAAAUGUUGCUAAUACUUUUAGCAACAUUGGUAUAGUCAGCAUUUAGUGUCAUAUGCUGCUAAAACUUUUAGCAGUAUUUGUUGAUCAUUUAGCAGAAUAAAUUAAUGUUACUAAUGAUUAAUUUUCUAGUAGUGCCUUUUUGAUAUAAAAGUCAAUGCGGAAAUACCUUCUUUUUUUAAAAAAAAUCUGACCCCUCAGGGUAUGACAGAUCCGCUACAAAUAUAGGGAGUCCACUGUUCACACGGACAGAGUCUCCUCUAUAUUUACACGGUGUCGCACAAGUAUAAGAUAUACAAUACAAGAUACAAUCAUCACAUAUGAAUAUCUAUAUAUUCAUACACCAUUCACAUUCACAUUCACAUCUAUCUAUUUAAAAUGUUUCCUAUCCGUAAACUCAUUUGAAACACUAAGUCAUGAAAACCAAUAAAACUUUUUAAAAAUCGUUUCCCGCAUCCUUUCCCAUGAAGGUCAGUAUUAAGGCAACGCUUCAUUAAACAACAUUAUUCUCUACAAUACCAUUCAAAGCAUUUGAUCAGAUACAAUGUCAAGUUGAUUAAUUUUGCUUUGAUUAACUUUUUGGACUUUAAUUUAGGUUUAAAUUUAUACUUCAAAAUAGUUCAACACUAGCUCUAUAGCUUGUUUUAUUUAAAGUACUAUCGGUCGAAAAUACUUAAACUCAAAUAGUAAAUAUUUUUAGAGUCCGACUGCUAUGCUAUCUAUAGCACCAAGCACUUGAUGCUAUCAAGUUUUCUGCCGUUAGAUUAACCCCUUUAAUUAUUUUUAUCCGUUUGAUUAUACUAUUGAACCAACCAUCCAUUCAACCCUUGGAGGCCCACAUCAUCCUAACCGCACAUUUCUCAAUCUAAUUAAGGGAUAAAACACUAAUAGCACCAACAACUUGGUGCUAUUGAUAAUAUUCCAGCCUAGUUCUAUACUAAUCACAUAUAGGGCCCUUCAUUAAAUUAACUCUCUAACUCCAUUUGAUAUUUAGAUUGCGGAGGUUACGCAAUACACAUUUCAUAUUAUUUUCUUUUAUAUCUAUGUUUCAUGAUCAUCCGAGCUUAAUCGCUUAUUAAAACGAGCCGAUCGAGCCAGCCUUUGUCGAGCCAAACACGGGCUAUUCGACAUGGAUUUGUAAAUAAUACCAAUUUAGCUAGUUAAUAAAACAAGACCAUGGUUAUACAAUUAAACCACCCUAAUUUCAUUGCCUAAGCUUAAUUAAAAACCCUUAAGAAUGGGUCAAACUAAACCACAUCCACUUCAUAAGAGAGAGAGAGAGAGAGUUUCCGAAAUUGUAGCACUUGGCAUGUGUGAAAGGGCGCAAUGCGAGGGGAAAUGGGUGAUGGAGAGAACCCUUUUGACCCUGCUAUUGUGUGAGUAUAUUGAUACCAAUUAAUUAAUUAAUUAAUUAAUUGCAAUUAAAGCUAAUUUAGAAUGUUUAGGUCUCUCUCUUUCUCUCUCCAUCUCUUACACAACAACUAUAAAAGAGAUGCUACACCACCCCCACAAAGAUCGAAGCUCCCCGGUUGGCCUUUUGGUCUCUCAUCUCAACCAAGCACUAUCGGGGUUCUUCCAAUGGCCUCUCGCUAAAUUCCCGUCAUUAUUCCCAAGGACAAGGUCAUUUCUUUUCAUUUCUCAUGACACCAUAACUCUCAUCAUCUUUUAUAGAGUAUAAAAGUAUAUGAGUAUUUAUAUUUGUAAUUUUUUAGCAGUCGAAUUGUUUUAAGACUUAUGCAGUAUAGUUAACAAUGUAUUCAAUUAAGUCUUUUUGUUAAUACUGUAUGGAUGUUGAGACAAUCUGACGAUUAAAAAAUUACAAAUAUAUCAAACUCUUGUGCUUUUAAAAGUACAGAAGCUUAUAUAUAUAUAUAGAGAGAGAGAGAGAGAAAGAGAAAGGGCUCUAUAUUUUUUCGAUGAUUAGGCUUCUGAAUCGACGAUCCACUCCAUUAAAUAUGAUUUAGAUUAUUUAAAACUUCUAAAAUAUAAUUUUAUAAUUUUUUAAAAUUAUAAUAAAGUCCAUCAAGUCGGUAUAAAAAAAAGAUCAAAAUUAGAGUUAUUGAUCUUUAUCUAGAUAGUAAAUAGAGUUUUCUAUAAAAAAUUCAACCUAUUCCGAUUCUUUACAUUGUUAAAAAUUAUCAAUUUGUAAGCUUUUGAUCAUAAGGUAAAUGAUGUCGAAGAAUUAUGAAAUUUGAUGUUUAAAAAUUUUAAAUGCACUAAAUAAUGUUUAACGAUAUGGAUUGUCGAUUCGGAAACUGUAUUAUCGCAAACGACUAAUAAGUACGAAAGCGAAUAUACUCAUAAGAGUAUAGUAGCUGGACUCUCUCUCUCUCUAUAUAUAUUAGAUAGAUAUCCUUUCGUUAUAUAUAUAUAUAAAUUAGAGAGAUAUAUUUUUGUUAUACACUGCUUGAAUAUUAUAAACAAAUUCAAAUUUGGUCUAUAAUUUGUAAACAAAUUUGAUAUUUUUUUAAAGCUCUAUAAAUACCACAACUCUUUUUUCCCUUUUUUGCAGGUCCUUUUUUCUUUUUUCUUUUUUUUAAAAAUUGGAUAGAAAGAAGAGAGAAACAGAGAGAACCAAAAACCCAAGAGGGGAGAAACCGAGCUACACAUACUCGAGGAAGAGAGAAAUUUUAUAUAAAUUUUUUUUAAAAAAAAUACAAAGAUGGCACGUGUCGCAUUGUUAUUGGCGGUCCUAUCAGUGAUGGGGCUCAUGGCCGUGCAUGCGGAGGAUCCGUACCUGUACUUUACGUGGAACGUGACGUACGGCACGAUCUCGCCGCUCGGAGUUCCCCAACAAGUGAUCCUCAUCGACGGUCAGUUCCCGGGCCCCAACAUCAACUGCUCCAGCAACAACAACAUCGUCAUCAACCUCUUCAACUACCUCGACCAACCCUUCCUCCUCUCUUGGUAAUUACUGUAUAUAUACUUAUCACCAAAUUUAUUAUAUAUGCAUGCCUCUCCUUGAUUGCACCUAACGUAAUUGAUUAAAUGCUUAAUAACUAGUGUACGUUGAGAUAAGUUUGAAUUAUAAUUAAUGACUUCAUAUUUCUUGCUGAGUUAAUUUUACAAGAUAAAAUAACAUACUAUUUUUUCCUAAAAAAAUUGAUCAUUUUAAUGCUAAGACAAUAAGAGAGGAAGGAGGAUUAAAUGUGAAAUUAAUUAAUGUUUUCUUUAUUUACAGGAACGGUAUCCAGCACAGGAAGAACUCGUGGCAGGACGGGAUGCCGGGGACCAACUGCCCGAUCCUCCCCGGCCAGAACUUCACGUACCACUGGCAGCCCAAGGACCAGAUCGGCAGCUACUUCUACUUCCCCUCCCUCGCCUUGCACAAGGCCGCCGGCGGCUUCGGCGGCCUCCGCGUCAACAGCCGCCUCCUCAUCCCCGUCCCCUUCGACCCCCCCGCCGACGACUUCACCGUCCUCGUCGGCGACUGGUAACCUACCUUGCUAGCUACUUUCUAAUUAGGAGUCUGACGGAACUCGAACUCAUAUAUAAAACAGCUCUGAUAUUAUUUUCUAAAAGGUUCGGCUGUUAGAGAACGAUGUUUUUGAUAUUUUUGUGUUGAAAAGGUACACGAAGAACCACAACGUCCUCCGCCGCCUCCUCGACUCCGGCCGCAGCAUCAACCGCCCCGCGGGCGUCCUCAUCAACGGCAAGUCCGGCGAGAAUGACAAGGAGCCGCUCUUCACCAUGGAGGCCGGCAAGACGUACCGCUACCGCAUCUGCAACGUCGGGCUGAAGACCUCCCUCAACUUCCGGAUCCAGUCCCACACGUUGAAGCUCGUGGAGAUCGACGGGUCGCACACCGUCCAGAACGUCUACGACUCGCUCGACGUGCACGUCGGGCAGUGCUACUCGGUGCUGGUGGCCGCCGACCAGCCGGUCGGGGACUACUACAUCGUCGCGUCGACGCGGUUCAUGAAGACGGUGCAGACCGCCACUGCAGUGAUCCGGUACGUCGGUUCGAGCACGCCGCCGUCCCCGGUGCUCCCCGAGGCGCCGGUCGGCUGGGCCUGGUCGCUGAACCAGUGGCGGUCCUUCCGGUGGAACCUCACCGCCAGCGCGGCCCGCCCGAACCCGCAGGGGUCCUACCACUACGGCAGCAUCAACAUCACCCGCACCAUCAAGCUCGCCAACAGCCGAUUCCCCGCCGACGGCAAGCUCCGCUUCGCCCUCAACGGCGUCUCGCACGUCGACCCAGAGACGCCGCUCAAGCUCGCCGAGUACUUCAACGCCUCCGACGCGGUGUUCAAGUACAACCUCAUCGCCGAUGAGCCCCCCACCGCCGGCGCCCCCCUGACCGUCGCCCCCAAUGUCCUCACCGCCGAGUUCCGCACGUUCAUCGAGAUCGUCUUCGAGAACCCGGAGAAGAGCAUCCAGUCCUACCACUUGGACGGUUACUCCUUCUUCCCUGUCGGGUACGUAACACUAUUAAAAAAGAGGAAUAGCACGUAUGGCUGUAGCUGAAAGCAGAAAUAAGAGCGUGCAGUUAAUAUGAUUGUUGGUGCAGGAUGGGGCCGGGGAAGUGGACGCCGGAGAGCAGGAAGGGGUACAACCUCCUCGACGCGGUGAGCAGGCACACGAUCCAGGUGUACCCGGGGUCGUGGACGGCGAUCAUGCUGACGUUCGACAACGCGGGGAUGUGGAACCUGCGGUCGGAGAUCUGGGAGAGGCACUACCUCGGCCAGCAGCUCUACAUCAGCGUCGUGUCGCCGGCGCGGUCGCUGCGUGACGAAUACAACAUGCCCGAUAACGCAUUCCGCUGCGGCGCGGUCGUCGGGCUCCCGCUCCCUCCGUUGUACGUUUGAGCGCGGCGCCGUGAGCAACCAGCGAGCCCUGCCAAGAAGAAGAAGAAGAUGAUCUUAUGUUUGGUUAAUUUUGAAGCAUGGUUGGCUGGUUGUGAUGUAACCUGGAGCUCUCUCAAUAGUAAUGGAAAACUUUAUUCAAUUGAUCUUUAUAUUUGGUUACUUUUGAAGCUUGGUUUGUUAUUAGUAACUUAAUAUGUGGCUUGAAUUUUUCCGUGAACAUUGAUAUUAACACAUUCAAAUUUUUAGUCACAUUUUAUUUUUCCUUGAAUCUGAAUUUAAUUAUUGCUAUCAAUUUCAAGUUUGUUAAUGGAAUCACCUACAUAUCCACUUUCAGUUGUGUACGUAAUUAUUAACAAAAAAAAAUGCUACAUAUAUAUACAUCAAAAAUGGAUAUAAAUAUUACUUUUUUUUUUCCCCGCUAAUUUUAUCAUUUUUUUAAUAUUGAAAAUUUGUACUCAACUUUUGGGCUUAGGAGUAGCAAUUUUCAGACCAUUAUCCCUGGAUUGCAUUAAAAUGAAGAUAUAGAAUUUGGUGUGGAACUUUUAGAUGCAGGCUACAAAUGCUUGUAACAAGAUUGGUUUGGGGUAAAGACUUUAUAUGGAAUUUUACUAAAAAUUUUUACAUUACCAUGUAAGAGGAUAAAGUUAAAAGUUUAAUUUUAUACAGAUCCCUAUAAAUAUCAAAAAGCAAAUGUAUCCCUACAAAAUUUAAGUUAUAAAAUUUAUUCAUUUAAAAGUUCUCUGGUUGUAAUUAUAUCUUUCCAAAAAUUCUUUGAUUUGUAAAUAUAUUCUUUCAAAAGUUUUAGUUCGUUCAUAUAUGUCCCUAUCGUUUGAUUCAUGAUUAAUUUUUUUAAAAAUAGAUGCAUAAAAUGACUAUUUUGUCUUUAUAAAUUUACUCUUGUAAAAAAAUUUAUUUUUUUUCUCUCCUCACUUUUUGCCGCAGCGUAUGCGGCGUACCUUAUUUUUAUCGCGAUAGAGGAUCUCGCCUUCGAUGUUGCUGCCGUCAAGGCCUCAUCAUUGUCAUAGAUAAAGAGAAGAGGAUGGAAUGGAAUUCAAAUUAUAUAUAUAAAAGAUAAGAAAAGUUAUUAUACCCCUUAAUUAUGGUUAACUUUUUUAACUCAUGAUUAUUUAAAUUUUAGUAACAAAAUAAUAUAUUUAUAGACGGAAGGGCUUUUAAAGAAAUAAUCUGAUAAUUUAAAUUUUAUAAAAAUAAAUUUAUUACGUAAUACCUUUGAAAGAAGCCAUAUCCCAUAUACAAUUAUCCCCAAAAAUGAAUUACAAUAAUUUAUUUUUUAUUUUUUAUUUUUUCAUCACUUUUCCUCUCAUAUUUGACUUCGUCGUUCCGCAGGGCAAAUUGAAUGAUGGCAUUUUGGAAAAGUAAAAUUAUGAAUAAAUUUAAUUUAUGACGAAUUAAAUAAAAAUAAUUGAAUGAUGGCAUUUUGGAAAAGUAAAAUUAUGAAUAAAUUUAAUUUAUGAUAAAUUAAAUAAAAAUAAAUAUUUACAGUCGAAAAUAAUUUUACCAUAGCACAGCAUUAAUCAAGAUCCAGCCAGUGCCGUCUCCGAUGGCAUUUUCCUUGUAGUACAGCUUGAUCUGAUUUUUUGUUAAAAUUUUAAAAUUUACUUAAUGUUAUUUUUUAAUUUUUUCACAUUAUUUUUAUAAAUAUAUAUUGUUGCCUAUUUAAUAAAUAAUGAUAUGAUUUUGAUAAGAAUUAUGCAAAAUUUGAAUAUUAUAUACAUCCUAUUAGAGAGAAGAAGACAACAAUCAACAAAAAAAAAAAAGGAGGAAUCAUGUGGAUUCCUCUUUAAGGUAACACUUGCACCAUAUAGGAUGUAUCUUAAAUCAAUUUUGUUGUACCAUGUAAAAUAAAAAAAAUUCUAACUAAAAUUGGUACGAUAUUCAUAUUAAAAUAACAAUUUUUUUAAAAAAAUGUAUCGUACUAGUAUGCAAUAUUGUAAUGUGAAAGUUUUUUUUAUCAUACAUUGCACAUGGAAUGUGUAAUAACUGUAAUAGAAAAAACUUUCAGUAAAGUUUAGUGACACGGCACGCCCCACUCCCAUUGCGGGCUUAGCGGCCCAUGGGCCAUCCGAACCCGUUUUACACCCGCAUCUCCACACGGAUAUAUUCCAAUCCAAUUUUAUUAUAUUUUGCGAGACAGUAAAGAGCCUAAUCAGAAGGCAUAAUAAUAUAGUUACUUCAUAUUAAAAUAAAAUCUUUUAAAAAAAAUUUCGUUGCUGUACUCACUUGAAAUAUUUAAUAUUUAUUUAUUUUUAUAUAAAAUAACUGUUAUAAAAAUAACUUGUUUACGAGGAAAAUGCGCGCAUUUCUCCAUAUGCUUCUACUCUUAAAUUCUUUUUGGGUCAAACGCGCCCAUAGAGGAGGAAUUCAAUUGGAUAGUAAUCCUCCGCACAAAAUAACUUUACACACCGCGAUCACAUCAUUCAUUUUGAAAAAAAAAAAGAAUCUGAAUUUUUUGUGCGUAGAGCAAGCACGAUAAUCAUUAGAGACAUACAAUUUGGGCAUUUGAUGCAGACGAGCUCCGCAUUCCUACCUCACAUGGGCGGUUGAAUCGUCCCGAGCACAGAAAUUUUCACAAUUUCUGCAACAAAAAAGGUGGAAUCAACCAAAAGCAUGGUGUUAGACAACCCUGAGAUCUAAGAUUCCUAAAUUUUCCAGUUGCAAACACAUAAACUACAAUUACAACAGUUUGCAGGAAUGGAUUCCAUCAUUCAUUUAUUUGAUUGUACAUAAAUUCGGAGAAUAUACACGAAUUAUCAAGUGACUUUCUAUUUUCUUAUAAAAAUAUAGUAGCAAAAUAAGAAUAAACCUUGGUGAGUUCUAUAUAGUCUUAAGGUUUGGUUGUAAAUAUUAUGCUGGCUCUUGCGGCCGCAUUGCAUUCACAAAAGACAGCUAAAAGGGUGUCGAAAACUGCGUAAGGGUUUCUUUUUUUUCUUUCUUAAGAAACAAAAUAAGGGCUUGUUAGGAGGUCUAAAACGAAAAAAGACCAGUUCUACCGAACUUGGUUCAAGAGCGAAGGUUAUCACUUGUAGAGAGAGAACUGUUGAAGAUGAGAAGCAUCAGUUGCGCUGAGAUGCUCGCACCCUGCAAUCUUAUCCCAAGGGUUUUUACAAUGCUUCUGCAGUUCUGUGUACCUCUCCAUGUUAAAAUGGUGCUUCUCAAGCAGCUUUUUCUGUCUAGAAGUGAAGAGCCUUUCCAUGAAAUCUUGGUAAGUUGGAUCCCGCGAUGUAAUUAGGAAAUAAGCAUAUCCAACAAGAAGGCCGGUCGUCGUUGUGAAGAAUGCUAUUGGUUCCAUGACAUCCCAUGAGAAUUCCCAAAAUGUGAGCCGAAAGAAGAGCCCGACCUGAGUGAUGAGAAACCCUAACCCUGACCAUAGAAUUCGUCGGACCUGCUUGUGGGCAAGCUUAUCGAUCUCUUCCUUCUUCAAUUGCAGCUGCUUCAGCUCCUCUUUCCUUGGAUCAUUUUCUGGUGUGAGCGCAAGGGGCACGGCUCUUCUCACCAAAUCCACAACCUAGCAAAAGACACAUAUGGUUCCACAUCAUAAGCUUUGGAGCAUAAGAAACAAUAGGUAAAAACAUAAAUUUACUAUAUUUCAAAAGAUUAAGUAACGGAAAGUUUCACAAUGUUACAACAUAUUCCAUUAAAAAAGUAAGAAUUACUGUUAAGAUAUGGCAGAGAAGAGUCUUAAAUCAAACUAAAGGUUAGGCAAUAAUUAAUAAUAAUAAUAUAAUAAUAAUAAAUAAAUAAACAGUACCAGCAUAUAAAGUAAACCGGCAAUGGUCAAAAAAAUGUGCACUCCUCGGACUCAGGCGAAUAGUAAGUUUUCAACUUCGCUGGGAAGUUAUGGUGUCAUUUUAUAAUCCAAUCUUUAAGAUAAUAUGCUCUGAGCUUGGAGACUACUAAAAACUUUUAAUGGCUUUUAGAAGUUAAGUUGUCAAAAGCACCACUCAGACUAGUAGGUGAUCUGUCUACGUGCUUAUAAGACAGAUUGCUAGCGAGCACCAAUUUGGCACCCUUUGAUAGAUUGGUGUACUAUCAGGUUACUGCUUCGUUUUCAAUAUUAUGACUACCAUCUAGUAGCACUAUUUUGCUACAUAUUGUUUCAGGAAAAAGAAAGUUAAAUGAAAAGAAAAACAACAAGAUCUCUCUGUGUAAAUUAUUUUUGGAACAUGUGAUAAUCUCUUACUACAAGGACAAGAAGGUAAGAGUCAAUAAGGAUUAAAUGGAAAAGGAUAAGACCUCUUUCAAAUAAAAUUUUUAUGGAACAGGGACACGUCACAAAAUCUUGUUUAUCAUAACAGCACCGUAUUGUUCCUUUUCUAUGUUUCUCUCUUUUCAGUAAUUGUUUUGGACGAUACUUUGAGGAGAUGACACAGGUAACUGGAACGUCUUGGAACCUGAUUUCUUACAAUAAAGGAAAAGUGAAACGUGUAAUCUGCAAUUUUUAGCCCACGCAAGAGAGUAAAAUGCUAACAUCCUCGACAAUCAUAUAUCCAUAAAUAAAGUACCCUAUGGUAAUCACUUACCACAUCCGCAAUGAAUUAUGGAAGUACUAACUUCCAGUAAAGGCCUUAUCAUCUCUUCACAUUUUAGAUGUCUGCCAUCAUAGAACAGAUGGAAAUCCAGAAAAAGAGAAAAACAAAACACUUGCCAAAUUUCCAUUCAAAUAUCAAGGUAUAUAGUUCAUGCUAAUGUUAUGAGCAUCACUUAUAAUUAGCCAGAUGAAUUGUUGAGCUUAUCUUACCAAAAAUCCAUAUAUAUGACAUGAACUAAACAUGGGAGAUUUAACGCAAAGAGGUAAUAAAACAGAAGGGAAAAAACAUAAAUAUCAGCAAUAACAUCUGCCAUUUAGAUAAAGCGAAGUACAAAAGGCGGGGAAGAGGGGAAAAACGCCAAAUAUAUACGUGCUUAUGCUAGAUUAUUAUUUUAUUAUUAUUAUUAUUAUUUUUACCAAGAGCAAGAAAACAGCAAGCUCCACAAACUACUUUAAGUACUUUCUGACAAACUUAACAGUAUUAAUUGCUAACCUUCAAUCCUUUAAUCUGUAAAACCAAAACAUCACUAGAAAGCAAACACAAGAAUCUGCUUCCAAAUUGCCCUGAGAGACAACAAAACCCUUUUCCUGUAGCAGCAAGUGGAGGAAUCUUAGUGGUCCACAAAUAUCCAAAACUUUAUCAGAGAGAUCUCUAACAGCUAUCUACAUGGACUGCAUUCCUUCCAAGAAUCAAAACUGUCAAUCUCAAAAUCAAGAGUGCCCAAUGGCAAAACUGUGAAUGUCAGCCAAAAUCUAUGAGCCUUGGAAUCUUCCGUCUCGACCAGUCUUAGGGCCUGUUUGGUUGUGCUCUUGCUUCUAGCAUUUGUGAGUUUUUGCUGCAGCGGGAAACAUAAAAGUGAUUCUGAGGACCAAAAAUUGAACUUUUUCAUACCGUGUCUCGGAUAAACAGUUAGAGAAGAUUUAAUACAGCGCUUGUCCCGCUAGCACUUCUCAGACAACACUUCAUCCAAUAGCACUACAUCACGCAGCAGGGCCGGCGGGCCCUUGUUCUGUUUCUCACUUCCUUAAACUUUUCCUUCACUAUUGUAACAAGAAUAAUCACCAACUAAAUUUAAAUCCUUAACGAGCUGAGCUAAUCAGAAGAAACAAGAUAAGCAAAGCUAAAUUCCGAGAAUUCUAGGACGAGGAAACGAAUCAAAAUCUCAAUUUGCCCGAACGCCCCACAAAAAGAUUCAAACAUUUUACUUCAAAACCCUGAAUCAAGUUACCUGCUUAUUAACUAAUUGCAAUCAAAUAAUGAAUUCGAAGAGAUGUUGAGGGGGUUUGUAGAGCUCACGAGCCACCUUGUCGGGGUGGAGGUAGACCUUGUCGCGGAAGAGGAGGACGACCCCGGCCUCGUCGAGGACGCGCGCGAACGCCUCCGCCUCCGCCCGCGUCCGCGCCACCCCGACCCCCUCGCACGCCGCAAGAAGCUCCGUGUACCCGAUAACCUCCCCGCCCCCCUCCCCGAGCCGCCGCUUCAGCGCCUCCACGUUCACCAGCCGCAUCAGCCUCCUCGCCUCCGCCGUCGUCACCUCCUCCCCCGCUCCGCCGCCGCUCGCCGGCGACGCCGAGGACGAGGAGGAGGAGGAGAGGGAGGUGAGGUGAAUCCAGGGUCGUCGGAUCGGCCGCUCCGCCCCCCAUCGGCGCCCUCUAGGGCACGCCGGGGCCCCCGCCAGGGCCCUGAGGAGCGCGCGCGACGAGGAGCGCCACCACAUUAGGGUUAGGUUUAGGGUUAGGGUUAGGGUUCGUGGUCACUGGCGGUGACCGGGAGAGGAGGUGAUCGGAGACAUUGUGGCGCAGCGGGUACGGUGUUUUUUUUGACCUUAUUCGUGGCCAUCAUUGGAGGGGUGGGAGAGAGACGGAGAAAUAACGGCGAGAAAACGGAGGGGCGUUAACGGCGUUUAGCGGCCUUCGUGUCCGAAUAGGAUAUGCUCAGCCCCACCGUGAUUGUAAGUUCCCGUAAUCAUUGGAUCUCUCGAGCUAACUUUUUCAUAAAAUUUUCCAUUUUUUAAAAAAUUAUUAUAUCUAAUUAUGUAACAACUUCCUCUUUUUGUUUUAAUUAAUUUUCGUGGUACUCAAAAUCCAAUGUAGUAUCCUUAUUUCUUUAUCUUUUCUUUUCCUUUUUCUUUUUAUUUCUUUUGAGUUGGUAAGCUAGCUGGGGAUAAGGAUGCCACGUGCACCUUACCCCCAAGCAUGCUUAUCACCUUAAUACUUGUGCAUAGUUUAUAUAUAGUUCUUGAGCCUCUACGCAUAUAGUUCUUGAGCCGUACGUAGAGGAGGAGCUCGGGUGGUGUGGAGUUUCGUCGACGUCGCGCAGCGGUGCCGUUCGAGCGUGUGUUCGUCGUCGUAGCAUCGCGAGGGGGGCCGGGCGAGGGUCCGAUUCCGCCGUUUUUGUUGUCGCGCCGGAUUGUGAUUAGCGUUUGAGGUGGGUUACAUCGGCUUUACUCCUAAGUUCUAAUUGGCCGACAUGUAUAGAUCUUGAUUUCGGUAAUUAAUUUAGCUCAAAUUCAUGGACUAUAUGUAGAUUGCGAAAUCUGAAUUUUGGAGCAUAUUUUAUAAAUUAAGUAGAUCAUACAUGUUGGACUUGAAAAUUGAAUUAGGAGAAAACCUGCGAUUUGGACCUGUCACCAGUUUUAACUACCUGAUUUAGCUCUAGGAGCCGUUAGAAAAUUGUACUGUCGCAGUUUCUUCGAGACGAGUACUCCAGGUAGUUUAGAAUGUAUUUACACUCGUGCUGGUUCGCCGAGUGGAUUUUUACAGGGUCGUUCAGGUUGUUUCGGACUGUUGGGUGCCGUCAGAGUUGACGGUGGACCCGUAUCGCCUUUUUGGGCGUCAGAUUGUGCCGAGGGCACUUACCUGUUGGUUGUUAGACCAUUUUGAGUCGAUUACUUGACUUUGGCUAGUUGGAGCCUGUUUGAGCUCGACAGAGAUACGCUGCAUACUCGGUUGGGUAGCGCCCACGAGUGCCACUCCGGAGUCAGGCUUGUGCUUUUGCGUUGGUGUCGCUCAUGCCAGUUGGACUUGCUCUCCACGGACCAGUUAGUGUGGAUAGAGCCCGAUAGUCGCAACGGGGCAGGGACGGGUGUAUUCACAGUCCCGGGGACGGGUAUGCUUACAGUCCCGAUUGGAUUGGGUCAGAUUUGACAUUUCCUACAGUUGGUUAGUGUAGAGCAUGAUAGUGUAGUGGAUGAUAGCGGUAGAGUAUGCUUCCUGCUUUCCUUCUAUCCUUGCUCCCUUCUGUAGACUUAGUGGGUGACCGAUGUUGUUUUGGGCGGUACCCACUGAGGACUACUUGUUUUUACAGUAGUUCUCACGCCCAGUUGUUACCCUUUGUUUUGCAGAGCCACAGGUUUCGGCUGCUGCGCCUUCCGCGGAUCAGGAUCGAGGCAAGGGCGUUGCGAGUUAGAGCCCUACCCGACUGACAGAGCUAGAGGCACCCUUACUGCAGGUAGAUGUUUUGUUUCGAGUUUGUGUACAUAGCUUGCUUAACUCGCCAGUGCGAGUAACCAUGUAUUUUGGAUUUGGACUAUGUAUAUGAAACUCAGUUGUUUAGCUUUGGUUUAUUGAGCAGCUCUAUACUACUGUUUGUAGUAUUGUAUAUCUACAGGUACUUUUGACGCUUCGUAUACAGGAAAAAUUCUUUUGUAUACGGCGGAUUUGUCAGCGUGCCCGGAAAACGAGACAUCCGGGGCUUGACAUCCAAUAUCAUAGACAAAUAAUUUACACAAAUAAGAGUUAAUAUAUGCUCUAAGUAACAUUGAUUUUUCCUUAUGAGGCUCAUUAUUAGGAGUGUAUUAUUUGACUUUGUCCACUAAUUCAUUAACUAAUGGCUUAAUCACAUAAUUAUGGGUAUUAGAACAUUAUGUUAAAAUGAUUGAUUUCAUAUUAUUGCUUUAACAACCAAUUUAAAGGUGAUGCCCAUAUGAGGGCCAAAUAGAAAAAUACUUCAAUGAAUUGAAAAGGAGAUCCGGAAUUAAAAAAAAAAAGUAAUUAAGAUAUUGUCUUUGGCCUUUUUUUUUUUUUUUUAAUGUUCCAUUUAUUUCAGAGAAAUCAUAAUCUGAAAAAAAAAAAAAAACAGUUUGAAGCCUAUUAAUAAUUAUUCGCUGUUGUAAAAGUGGAAGCUUUACAAAUUUGUUUCCGUUUCGUCGAAAACAAUUAGAAGGCCUAGAAAAAUAUUUUCAGAUCAACUAAUAAUUUUUGCACGUUUAGUUCGAAAAGUAUUGUUAUAUGUAAAAUUGUUAAAGAGAACUUAUAUUUCUAAUGAAAAAAAUAUUUUAUUGGUGUGUUAGCAAAUUCCCGCAAUGUAUUAUAAUGCUUAAACAUCUAUAUACUAUAAAUGUUAAUACAGCAACAAUACAUAAAGAUAAUAUUAUAAUUAAAUAAUCCAAAGCUUUUGUUUUUGAAAAAAAGAACCUAUUAUGAGUAAUAGAAACUUAAAUAAGUUUUACUAGAAUACUAUUAUAGCACACCACUCAAUUUACUACGAGUUAUUUUCAAUAACAGAGCUUUCAAGUUGACGAUCGACACAAUUAAAUAUAAUUUAAACUAUCUAAAAAUAAAAAUUGAUAUUCCUUUCGAUAUUAUUCUUUUGUUCAUCAAAUGGAUAUAAAAUAUAUGGAUGAAAAAUAAAAAUUCUUCAAAAAGUGAUGAUGUAAUUUUAUAUUCAUGAAGAUCUGAAGUCUUAUUUUAAAUAAUUUAAAAAAAAUUUGAACAAGAAUUUAACUAAUUUGGACUCUUCUGUGUCGCUAAAUGAGCAAAUGUAUUGCACCAACUGUUUGAUCGUUGGAUUAGUAAUGUCAAAAAAAUAUGAAAUUUAAUUUUUAGAUAAUUUAAAUAAUCUAAAUCAUGUUCAAUGAUACCGAUUGUCGCUUUAAAAGCGCUAUUAUUGAAAAUAAAUUGAUAGUAAAUGGAGCCAUUUACUAAUGAUUGUAAUCCAGUAGAGCUCAAGUUAAAUACACCCCAGGUCAAUCUAAAAUGUUCUUCUUGUGGGCCCAAAUUAAGUCGGGCUUGAGUACAAAUCCAACCAGGUACGAUUUGACGUGGCGAUCCGCCGGCGUUUUAUCAUAUCGAAAUUCAACCAGGUAGGUCCGAGCAUAUCCAUUCAGCCUAGCGGCGAAUCUAGAAAUUUUAUUUAGUGGGAUCAAUAUAUAAUAAAGAGAAAAUAUAAAAUAUAAAUUAAUAAAAUAAGAUAUAAACUAGUCAUUAAAUUGCAAAACUAAAAAAUGUAUUAUUUUUAUUUAUAAACAUACUCAACAUGUUUUCGUAUUCUGAGAAUAAUGUUGGAUAGGUUGAACGAUAACACCGCCAAACACAGAUAUAUAUAUAUAUAUAUAUGUAUAUAUAUAUAUGUAUAUAUAUACAUAUAUAUAUAUAUAUGUAUAUAUGAUAAUAAUAAUGCUAUUAUAUGAUAUAUGGUAUAAUUAUAUAUAAUAAUAUAUAGUCCGGGCUGCUAUGCUAUCAAUACACAAAAAACACUUGGUGUCUAUCAAUUUUCUGUCGUUCAAUUAAUCCCUUUGAUUAUUUUUACCCGAUAGAUAUUACUAUUCAACCAACUAUCCACUUAACCCUAGAGGGCCCAUAUCAUUCUAACUGUACAUUUCUUAAGUUCAGAAUGGUAAAAAACUAAUAAGCAAUAAUUAGGUUGCAUAUUGAUAAUAUUCAGUGAUUAUAAUACUAUUAUUAUAUAUCUAAUUAUUUAUAUUAUAUAUAUAUAUAUCACUAAGCAUAUAUAUGUCACUAAGCAAUCGUUCAUCAAUUGAUCACACAUAUAAUUGCGUAAUUUAUUCUUUAUGAAAUUUAUUACAAAAAAAGCUCUUUCCAAUGUGGCAAGUAGUAACAGGUGGAAUUAAUGUCAACUUUAAAAAUAAAUAAAUUCUUGGAAACACUAUAUUUCUUCGUCUUAAUAAAAGAGAAAAUUUAAGGUUAGCGGAUCAUACAUUUUUAUUGGAUCUACUAUUUUUUUUUUCUAUUUUAUUCUACUGUCCUACUUAAUCCCUCUAUGCUUUUUCGUCAGCCCACUACCACGUAGGCCUAUGAGAUUAAAAAAUAAAAAAUCAUAUUAUUUGACCCCACUUUGGGUCAACUUUGGCGUCAAAGUUGGGUCAACAACUCAAGAUUGGCCAAUAUGGCCUUUUUUUUAACAUAUCUCAGUGGAGUUAAUGGACCCCACUGAGCUCUAUAUCUAUCCACUAAUGAUUUAGCCAAGUUAUACAUCCGAAUAAAUUAUAAAUCUAGCACUCUAUUUAUCUACGAACCUUUAUCCAAAAACUAAACUUACUGAUCUUUUCUUUUAAUAUUAAAAACCUAAAAAAGGCGUAUAUAUUUUUGAUAUAUAUAGAUAUAAGAUUUCAAUCUUAUUUUUGGCUGUAUAAGUAGCAUUUCUAACUAGCUGAAGCUCGAACGCUUUUCAACUUAGAAUCUAGCUUGCUCAGUUAUUAAAUAAGGUAAGUUCAAGCCGCCAAUAAAAAGGAAUUUUAUUCGCUUGAGAUUGGCCUCUGUCGACUCGAAUCGAGCUCGAGCCAGCUCGAGCCCCCCGCCUUUGGCUAAUCGAGUCGACCUGAGCUCAACUAUUGUGCUCGGCUUGUGUACACCUUAAAAAAAUAAAUAAAUAAACUGAACAAAAUAUAGUAAUUCUCAAUCUGUGCCUUGUUGAUCCAUUUAUACAUGUCAAAUAUUUUUCUUCAAAAUAAGUAACACAAUAUGCCUACCCAAAAUCUUUUUCGUUUUUUUUUUGGCCACAAAUUUUAUGAAGUUAGCUUCAGAUUUUAAUUAGGAUUGAAGCAUGUAAUCGAUUUGGGCCUUGGUGGGCCUUGGAUGGCCCAAACAUAACUUGGCAUUUGCCGAAGCCCAAACGGUAGAGCAGCUUUUCUGUUUCAAGAAGCACCGUGAACUUUUAUUCGAGAAAAAAAAGAGAGAUUUUGCUGUGGUGUGUUUUAAAGUAAUCAAUCGAGCACUAAAAAUGAACAAAUUCAAUUUGAAACUGUUAUAUUCGAUAUAAUAGAAGGUGUCGAGGGAAAGCUAAUUUAGUCGAGUAAUCGAUAAAUUUUAGAAAGAGUUUACGGAUGAGUUUACUACGCUUUCGGCCACGUCUCACUUAACCCUCAACACAAAAAAUAUCAUUAAACUUAAUCUUGUAUCCUUGGCAAAUGAACUACAUUGAUUGUUAGAUAAAAUGCGGAUUCUUUUAACUUCUAGUAUCGAUGGUUUGUAUCUGAUUUUAGUCCUCCAAUUUAAGUGCCAACAUAUGAAAAUAUUCAUACAUAAAACCGAAGUAACUUACCAACUCAUUUCAACGAAUUUUUGCAUCCAAAUUUCAUAGUCGUUCUAAAAUUUUAGUUUUAUUUGGGACAGUAAUAUACUGCAGGUUAAAAUCGACAAAAAUUUGAAAAAUUUUAAAAAUGUACUGUCUUUGAGAAAUUUGAUCUCAGAACUCACAGUACUUCUGCAGCAGAAAUAAGACCGUAUAGAAUCAUUAGGGUUAAAAUGUGACAGCAAAAGUUAAAUUAAUUCCUGAUCAAUUUUGUACCCAACUGAUCUGAGUUGUGUAUGAAAAUGUGGUAAAUUAUGGCUAGUCAGUAAAGAACUGCAGUGGCUCUGUACAAGUCAGAAGGGUUCAGAAAACAAGGUGGUCUAGCUGCAGGGCAUUUAUAGCUAGCUGCCUGCAGUUGCAGAUCACAUGUCAAGUUAAUGGACAUUAAAAAUAGGAGGAAUUCUACACUGUCACACUUGCACCACGUCAUCAAUAACAAGUCAAUCACAUUUGUUCUUUUCAAAUAAAAGUACAAUAAAAAUACUUUUUUACAAUCAUGAUGGGACAUAUAUUCUUAAAAUGAUUAAUUUGAUUGGUUUGUUACACCACGUCACUAGUAUACCCGUUGCAUUCUAAAAUUUUUCUAAAAAUAGAAUUAAUUUUAUACAUGUCUCUACAAAUAUAGUGAAUUACAAAUAUAUUCCUACAAAAUUUAAUUUUUAUAUAUGGUAUAAUUGUAUAUAUACAUUUUAAAACUUUAGAAAUAUCUUAUUUACCCAUACUUUUUUUUUUUUCUUUCCAAUAUAUCCCUCAUAUGUUCCUCCGUUAUUCCAAAAUACUUCUGCAGUUACCACCCUUUAAGUUAAUUUGAGUUAAACGUGAAUUAAAUAUCUACUAGAGUUUAAAAAAAAAACUAAAAUACCUCUUUUAUUCUUAACAUAACGGUAAAUAAGAAAUAUUGGUUAUGGUAGAAAGGUAUACUUGAAAAGACAAAAAAUCAAAAUACUUUUUGUUCCCCUAUCUAAAGGGUAAAUAAGAAAAAUCGGUUAUGGCGAAAUAUUUGAAAGGGUAAAAUAGUAAUUUCAUACUGAUAACAGUUAUUGUUAACAGUUUAUUAACGGAAUUUAACUCUAGAGGUAUAUUUCAAAUAGUUGGAAUGUAAAAAGGGUAUUUUUAAUAUUAGCCUUCUAAAAAAGGUAAUAAGAAAGUCAUAAACUUUUCAGAAAUAUAUAAGCAAUUGCCCCUUUAUAUGUUGUCUCUGCAAAAAUCUUAAUGUUUUUAAAUAUAUUCUUAUGGUUUGUUACUGUUAAACAACUGUUUAUUUUAUAAGUGAAAUGACCUUUUUGCCGUCACAAAUAUGUCCCUCCAAAAAUCUUAACUAUUAAUUGGAAAGGGCUAAAAAUAUCAAUUCACCUCAUUAACUAAUUACGGUUAAGUAUUUUACAUAUGGUUAACUAAUAUUUUCUAACGGAUCGUAAUAGCACAUAUUAAUGUGAUUGAUGUGAUUUCUUGUUACUAGGGCAAUUUUCAUCUAAAUUAAUAAAAUUAAUUUUGAGUCUAAAAGGCAGAAAAUGUUUUUCAACAAAUAUCCACUUUUGCACUUUAUCUCUAUAUAUAUUUUUUUAAAUCUCUAUUUUGUUAUUUUAAAAUUUAAAAUUGUAUCACUUGAUUAUGCGCAUAAACUAUUUUGCAACUAUUAUAUAUACAAAUUAUGUAGUACAACCAAUUUACUAAGAUACUCAUUAUAUUUUUAAAACUAUAUAAGAAUGAGGAAUGCUAUUUGUACACUCCUAAUUCCUAAAUUAGGAGAAAGUUUCCUAUACGGCCGUCACACAAUGUCGCAUGUCUCUCAACUAAUCAAAUUUUUUUUAUUUAAGAAAAAAAUUCAAUAUUUUUUAAAAAAAUUAUGAUGGGCUGAGCGAACCCUAGGGGUCAAAUGUGAUUGAUUAGCGACACUAUAUCAUCUAUGACUAUCACAUUUUUUUAAUUUUUUUCUAUAUUAUGCAUACAUCUUAUAUCUCAUUCAUCUAAGAAAAUCUUUCUCCACUAAUCUUACCAAUUUUUUUUUAAAACUAAAACCGAUUUGAUUUUCUAUAAACUUUAUGAUGGAGUGGGUAUAAGAUUUACAUUUAUAUAUAGGUAUACAGAUAGCAUAUUCCUAUAAGAAUAUUUUUGUGUUUCUUAAAUUAGCUUAUUAUAUUGAGGUUUCCUACUAUUUACUAAUUAAAUUUUAGUUUUUCAUCAUUUUUUAAGAAUGAAGUUGUGUAUAUUACUAGUUAUCUAGUUGUAUCAUACUGUAUAUGAAACAGUAACAAUAUUGAUUUACCACCACAAUAUAAAUUUAAGAGGACAAAAUAUAAGUUUCUUUUAAAAAAAUAAUGAGGUAAAAUGUAAAAACACUCAUUUAUAAAAGAAAUAUUUUAUAGUUUAACCCUAAUAAAAAUUCUAUGGGACGGGAGACAAUGUGUACCAUUGCGUGAUUAACCCCUCAACAAAUUUCUAACCUUUUUCUAUUUCUUUUUUGACUAAAUUACAAAAAAAUUUUAUAAAUACUUGUUUUUUUUACUUUUUCUUUCUAUUUUUUAAAAAUCUAUAUUGUAUUCCCUCAACAUUUUAAGUUGUUGCAUUAAGCCUCCAUCCGUCAGGAUUUCAUCAUUCUUCUGUCUAUUUCUUAUUAUUUAUACUAAAAAUAAUUUUUAAAAUAACAAAAAUAUAUUAAAAAAUAUUUUUAAUAGAAGAAAUAAGAAUAAUUAGGACAUUUUUCUAUCUCGUUAAUAUCGUACCCACUUGAAACUAUUUCUAAAAUUUGUAAAAAAGCAAAAUAUAAAUUUUUUAAAAUAAAAAAGAAGUAAAAAAAAAAUAUUUUUAUGACAAUGUUUGGAUCGGGGAUAAUGGGAGAGAUAACCCCUUAUCCGUCCCUUUAUAUCCAAAAGCAAAUUUUUUAUCCGAGAAUAAUAGUUCUCGGAUACUUGAAAUAAUCUGGUAUAACUAUUCCACCAACACCUCUAUUUUUUAUAUAUAACUAUCCACUAUUUUACGUUAUUUUUUUUUAUCCCAGAAACAAUCUAAUUUUUAUCCAAACAUUAUUUUUUCUAUUUGUAUUUAUCACUGUAAUAAUUAGUUCUUACUUAUAUCCAAACCAAACGUUAUCUAUAUAUAUAUAUAUAUAUAUAUAUUUUUUAUAUUUUAUUUUUGUAAAAAAAAAAAAGGCCUUAUUCUUGAAUCGCUUUCGUUUGCAUUCUACUGUCAUUGUCCGAGCAUUUAAAACAGCAAACCUACUCCACAUGACCAACAUCGAUCAGAAUAAUUAAUUAAUGAAUGAAAAAGGAGGCUUUACGACGCAGCGAUUAUCAUUUAUUGCACCACCCAUGUACCGAAUCCCAGAUUUCAAUACCCCUCGUCCAAUCCAUUUCCGUGUACGGAUCCAUCCAUAUGCGACUUUUUUUUUGUGAGGGGUAAAGCGCUUUGGCCUUUGAGAAGAAGCCGCAGCACCGUUUAUUGCGGGUGAAAAUUGUACGCAGGCCCCUCAACGAUACGGCGUUAUGAAACAAGCCCCCUUCACUUUCUUUGUUCUCGCAAAUUUGUGUUUUCUUUUUUGGCUAAAUUACAGAAAAUCUUCCAUCAAAAUUUGAUUUUUUAUUUUUCCUUCAUGUCAUUUAAAAAUCUACCCUUUGUCCUCUUGUAAAAUAAAAAAUAUUCACAGGGAUACGGUGUGAACUGUGAUGAUAAAAUGACCAUUUUGGCCCUCAUCAUUUUGCCGCUCACUAUAUUUACAGAAAAGAAGGUUGAAGGCAUUUUUGGCAUAAAAAUAUAAAUAAUAAUAUUUUAUAAAUGGAAUACUAAUAGAUUAUUAACGGCAGGGGACAAAAUGAACAUUUUUCAUUUUACAAGGGGGCAAAGUGAUGGGACAAAAUAUAGGUUUUUAAAUCACAGGGAGAAAAAUGAAAAAUUAGGUUUUGACAGGAGGUUCUAUGUAAUUUAGCCUUUUUUUUAAAAAAAACUUCAAAUAUCACCCCUAUAGUUUCACACUUUUUCACUUUAGUAUUCUGUGGUUCAAAAUGUAUCAAUUUACUGUCCUGUGAUUUCAUUAAUUUUUAUCUUUUUAUUAUAGACUUCAUUAAUUUUUUUCGUUAAAUCAGUGACAAAAUUAAAAUUAAAGAGUACUAAAGUGAGUAUUCGAUAAGCCUAGGUAGAGUAUCUGAAGCAUUUUAUAUAUAAUUUAACGAAAUAUUAACGGAGAAGCUGACGAAAAGAUAAAAAUGAAACUACAGGACACUAACUCGAUACACGUUAAAUCACAGGAUACUAAAAUGAAAAAGUACGAAAUCACAGGGGUGGUAUCUAAAGAUUAAUAUGUUAUUCGUUUCGUUUAUUUUUUAAAAAAAUAAACUUAGGUAAAAAUAUGAAGCAAUUAGAUUUCGAAUUUAAAAUCUCGAAUACAAAUCAUCAAAUUUUUCACCACCUUUUUUUUUUUUUUUUUUUUUUCUGGUCGACACUUGGUAACGUCCAACUUCUUUUAUAUGAAUUUUUCUAGCUAGUUAAAUUAUUGUUUAAAUAUAUUAGCUCUAAUAGCUAUUAAUUGUUAAUUAUUUAGUUUAUAUUUUAUAAACACAAACUAAAAUAAAUUAUCAGAUUUGAUAGAAUUAUUUCUGAUUNUCGUAAUUAAAAAAAAAGGUAAUUGCAUACAACUUCCUAUAAAUAUAUCGAAUAGCAAAUACAUUCUUACACGGUUAAACUUUUUAUUUUCAUCCUUACAAAAAAAAAAAUUUGAUAGGGGUUUUGGCGUACUGGUAAAUAAAUUUAAAAUAAUUAAUAAUUAUUAGUUCGUAGAUUGGUUCAAUUUAAUUAAAUUUUUUCGAAUAAUAAAUAUUAAAUGUUCGCCCUCGCUGUUUGAGAAAGUGGUGGACAUUUGACGAAAUAAAUACGUCAUUAGAUGGUGUGAAUAUUAAAGUAAAAAAUUAAGAAACUUAUCUGAAAUAUAAAUUAUUUUGAUUCCGUUGCUCAAUCUUUUAAAGUUUUUAAUUUUACUAUUCAAUUUUUCUAUUUAUUUGAAUUAAGUGAAUCGAUAAUAUUUUAACUUUAAAAAUUUAAACUAAUUAUUUAUUUUAAUAAAAUUAUAAUUGUACAAAGUUGAUGGCUUAAAUCAAAUAAAUUAAAACGAAAUGCUGAUGGUAUACCCUUCUGAGGGUGUAGGAUAUACACCACACCCAUCAAGUAACUAGUGGACAAUAUUUCACUCUUGAAUGGGUGGGAUGUAUCUUGUACGCUCCUACUGGGGUGUACAAGAAAUAUUUUUUAUAAAUUAAAGAGUAACUUCAAAUACAACUUCUGUGGUUUCGCACUUUCUUGCUUUAUUAUCUUAUGGUUUAAAAUGCAUCACUUUAAUAUCAUGGGGUUUUAUUUUUCUCUUUCAGUCAGCAUCUCCGUUAACUCUUUGUUAAAUUAUAUAAAAAAAACUUCAGAUACCCCACUUAUGAUUUAUUGAAUAUUCACUUCAGUGUCAUGUGGUUAUCGAAUUUUCAGUUUAGUACUCUGUGGUUUUAACUUUGUUACUGAUUUAACGAAAAAAGUUAACGGAGGAAAUAACGGAAAGAGAAAAAUGAAAUCAGGGGAUUACUAAAGUGAUACAUUUUAAAUCAUAGGGCACUAAAGUGAGUAAGCGCGAAACUAUAGAGGUGGUAUUUAAAAUUUUUUCUAAAUUAAAAAAUUAAAUAAUAAAAUUAAAAUUUUGAAAGAUUAGACAUGAAUAAGAUAAGUCCGGUACAUUUUUUUCCUAUAAAAAAAAGAUUAAUUUCAUAUAUGUUCCUGCAAAUAUAGUGAAUAACAAAUAUAUUUCUACAAAGUUCAUCUUUCAUAUAUUGUCUUUUCAAAAGUCCCGUUGUUUUCAAAUAUGUUCAUGCCGUUAGAAUUCGUUAGAAAAAAUUAGUUAACCAUAUGUUAAAUACUUAACCCUAAUUAUUUUUGAUAUUUUUACUCCUUUAUAUUAUACUAGUAUGGCUUUUGGAGGGAUGUAUUUGUGGUGACAAAAUUGAAAAUAUAAACGGUUCUCUAAUGGUAACAAACCAGAAGAAUAUAUUUGAAAAUAUUAGAAUUUUUGCAGGGACAACAUAUGAAAGUUGAACUUUGUAGGGAUAUAUUUGUCAUUUACUAUAUUUGCAGGGACAUGUAUGAAAUUAACCCAAAAAACAAGAACUAUUUACUUGUCCAGCCUCUUUACAAAAAAAAAUUCUCUAUCUAGUCUCCUUUUGAAAAUAUUCCCAAUCUAGCCUCAUUUUUAUAUUUUUUUUAAAAAAAGAUAAGUUAAUAAUUUUUAUAUAGAUUAAUAUGUUAAGUGGGUGGAGAUUAUUUUUUUUCUCUCUCCUUUUAAAUUAAGUGAAUGUAAUGUGAUUUUAUAUAUGAACACUUUUAAAUUAUAUUGACUUGUAUAAUCAAAUUAAGUACUAGUAGUACUAAUUAAAAAUUAUAAUUUAGAAAUAUUAUUAUUAAUAAAUAAAUUUUUUAUUAAGUAUUCAUAUAUAAAAUCACAUUAUAUUCACUUAAUUUUAAAGGAGAGAGAAGAAAGAUAAUCUCCACCCCCUUAACAUAUUAAUCUAUAUAAAAAUUAUUAAUUUAUCAUUUUUUUCUUAAUCUAUAAAAAUGAGGCUAGAUUGGGAAUAUUUUUCAAAAGGAGGCUAGAUAGGAAUUUUUUUUUUGCUAAAUUACAUAAAACCCCUUGUCAAAAUUCGAUUUUUCACUUUCUCCACUCGUCAUUUAAAAACCUACAAUUUGCCCUCUUGUAAAAUAAAAAAUGUUCACUUCGACCCCUACAGUUAGUAAUCAGUUAGGAUUCCGUUUAUAAAAUAUUAUUAUAUAUUUUUUUAUGCAAAAAAUGUCCGCAGCCUUCUCUUCUGUAAACAUGGUGAUGGGCAAAAUGAUGAGAGGGAAAAUGGUCAUUUUAUCAUUACAGUUCACACCGUACUCCUGUGAAUAUUUUUUAUUUUAUAAAGGGGCAAAAUAUAGGUUUUUAAAUGACAGGGAGGAAAAUUAAAAAAUUGAGUUUUGACAGGAGAAUUUUCUGUAAUUUAGCUUCUUUUUUAUUAUUAUUAUUAUUAUUAUUAUUAUUAUUAUUUUAAAGAGGCUUGACAAGUAAAUGAAUCAAAAAAACAAUAGGAGGGGCAUAAUCUAUACCACUUGUAAGUAAGGGGUAUCCAUACAAUUUUUACCUGAUAAUAUCUCAUCCUCUCUCCGACCGAAGAAAAUUCCUCCAAUCGCUUGACGUGACACUUCAAUAAGCUAGUCCGCCUGACAUGUACACCGAAAUCGGGUGGGGUCAACCAACCCGAACCCUACCACCCACACAGAAUUCUCUUCCUACGCCUGGUGCAUCCGUACAUUUCAUGCACCGCAUUCUCAAAACAGUCCCUCAAAAUAUUAUAAACUAUUCAUUCACAAAACAUUAUUAUUCGACAGUAAAGAAAUUGUAUUUGCUAUUCGCUUUUUAAUCCUUAAUAAAUUCAUAAUUAGGAGAUAGGAAAUACUAUUUCUCUACUAUUAAUAGCAUUUUAAUUUUUUUCCUAGUUAAAUAACCUAAAUCUUAAAAAAUAAUAAGUUUUAAAAGUCUAUUUUCUUAUAAAUUUGACAUUCUCCUUGAACUAAUUUUCGGAAUUGCUGACAUUUUUAAUUCCUUAACAGUUGAGUAACAGAUUUUAAUAAUUUAUAGUAUAUUCGCAUGUAAAUUUCUUAGUAUCCUUCAAACUCUAAGAUAUAGGAUCCUCUCAUUAUUCUUUCGAUAUUGUAAGUUAUAUUGGAUCAUAUUCGAAUUUAAUGAAAUUAAUAAUCAAUCAAAUAUUGCCACUGGUGCAUGAGACGCCAAUGCACGAGGUGCAGGCAACAAAUUUCACACCACCCCCACCUCCUCCCCCAUUGUGGGCCCCGCACACUCCUUCGCGCAAGCCCAACCACGUGACCAGUGACCACACUCAUUCUACAAACUUCCAAAUUCGACCCGUUUCGACACCUUUUUAACUCCGAUGAGAUGAGGUGUGCCACACACCCUCCACAUGCUUAAUAAAACGCCUCCAACCUCUCCAGCAAUAUAUAACCCCGUUAGUAUUACCAACAUAGUAACAACGAUGAACAAUAUUCCGGACUAACAUCCAACUGCUCUAAAUAGUGAUGAAAUAAUUAAUAAAAGCCUUUAUCAUUAACUCAUUUAAGAGAUGGAGAGAGUUCUAGACAGAGAGGGGGUGGGAGAGUACUAGAAAGCCAGCUCAGCAAUUUCUUGCACCAUGACAAAGGACAGAGUAGGGAAAACGAAAUGGCAAUGGGCUUGUCCGCGCCAAAAGCUACAGAGUAGGGGGUACGGCUUUUUGUAAGAGCGAAAAGGACCACUCAGUAGCGCAAAAAGAAACCCAUUGGCGACUAAGGAAAAGCACUUCUUAGGAGUAGCCCCAGCAUGCAUUAAUUAUAGCUGCUCCCGAACCCAUCUAUAUAUCUACUUCAUCAGUAGGCCAAACAUCAGCUUCUUCACAGCUCGCNGGGGGGGGGGGAACGAAGAAAAAAGGAAAAAGUGGGUAGUGAUCAUGAUAUGUGAAUUUUUAAGUGUCAAAGAUUUUAGAACUAAAUCUGCCUAACUACACGGUGAAAUGCAAAAACAAAAUGAUAGUGAGACGUAAAUGCAGUAAAUAUUAUAAGAGUUCGACUCAGAGGAUCGUGAACGGCGCACUCGACUUGAAUGGAUUUGCCAAAUGAUCCUCAAUAUUCUGGCUCUCAAAUUAGGGCGGCAGUAGUUAGUUCGGAUUUUGAUGAGAUCUUCUUAUUCUGCUGUUAGUGCGCCUUUCGCGUGAGCCAAGAACUCCCACAUUGUGUCGGCUAGCGGGGCGGAUUGGCGGUUUGGAUCGGGCGCCACGCCGAGGCGGUGAGGAGGCAAAGGUCCUUCCACCCGAGCUUGAGCGCGCCGUUCUCCUCGACGAGCGUGUAUCCGUCGGAGGGGAACAUGCCGAGGAGGAGCGUGGCCUGGGCGGCGGCAUUGCCCGCGAGGGAGACCGAGCGGAAUCCCGACUGGGCCAGCUUCUCGCGCCAGUUGCCGAACUUGACAUCCCCGGACCGCGCCGGGCCGCCCACGGCGAGCACGUUGCGGAUCUCGCGCGACAGCAGCUGCUGCUCGACGACGUGCCGCUCGGGGCUGUCCUCGCCGUAGCUGGCGCCGAGCGAGUCGAACAGCGCCGAGUAGUAGUGGAUCGCCUCGACGAACCGCGCCAGGAACGAGCCCCCCGGGCUCAGAUCCUGCUCCACCAUCGUCACCACCUUCGGCGCCAAACUACAUCAACCAACCAAACAAACAAACAAACAAACAACAAAUUUUCAAACUAGUUUUCUUUUUUUUUUUUUAACCCUAAUAAAAUUUCGAAUCUCAUGUAAUGCGUGUAACACGUGAAAAAAGAAUGGAUAAAAAUCUUAUCAAAAGUCGUACUACUCUUCUAAUACAGUACGCCAAUCCGUCUAUUAAAUCCCCCCCUCCUAAUCAUGGCAACUAAAGAACACUGAGAUUAUGGAAAAAAAGGGCAAUGGCUUCAAAAGUUAGUCAUAAUGACUACUUUUAGCUUUACUUGUGUAAUCUAUAAAGUAUUUUAAUAAAAGUUCUUUCUAGCUCCACAUUUUCAAGAGACAAAAAGUGCUUAACACCACACCAUAAUAAUAGUAAUAAUGCAAGAUGAAAAAAAAACAAGAAGAAGAAGAAUAUAUGUAUAUAUAUGGUUGGAGAUUGGGCAAACACAAGCGAUUGAUUGAGAUCACUUCCGUCUUCGUGCUAGAGCACAAGAUCGGCACAGAAACCAGUCAGAAAUAUGAUGCGCCCGUACUGUUUCCAAGUUCUAUAUAUAUAUAUAUAUAUAUAUAUAUAUAUCCUCUCCUCCCCCCUCUCACCUUCUUUCUUUUCGUUUUUUUUUUAAAAAAAAAAAAAAAGAAGAAGAAGAAAGGUUUGAUUAAUUAAUAUUAGAAAGUUCCUUUGUGUUAAUAAUUAGUACGUAGUAGUGAUUGAUUGAUUAAUUAACAAUCUGAACGAUGUAUAUAUCUUGUUUGAUUGAAAUGCAAAAAGAGGUAAUUAAUGGGAAUGGAGAUCAUGAAAGAAGAGGGUAAUGUAAUGUACCGCUGGAGGAGCCAGAGGGUGUUGGUGUCGGAGCCGGUGACGUCGUAGAGGGAGUGGUGGAGCCAGUGGACGGCGAGGGCCUCGCGGCGGGAGACGCCGAGGCGGUCGGGGUCGAGGUUGCCGACCUUGUCGGCGACGGGGUGGAACUCGAAGGGGAGGCCGAGGGUGUCGGCGAAGUCGGAGAGGCGCUUGCCGGUGGCCUCGAGGGCGUCGAGGGAGGCGCCGAGGCCGGUCAGGCGGACGCGCGGGGGCCCGCCGGGGCGGGAGGCGAGGAUGUGGAAGAGGCCCGGCCACUGCAGGCCCUGCAUGAUGUCCAGGUCGAUGAUGUGCACGCGCUCCUCGCGGUCGAACGCCUCCUGGAUCGCCUGGUUCGCCGUGAAGUGCGAGAACUUCACGAACGGGCUGAUGCCGUUGAACACCUGGAAGGCCGCCGCCAGCCGGUGGUGGACCCGGAGGGCCGCCGGGGACGACGCCGGCAGCGGGGCGUAAAGCCCCAGGCAGGAGCUGACCAGCCGGGCCGACAUGGCCUCCGAGAAGUAGGCCGCCACGCGCUGGGCCGAGCUGCCGAACGGGGUCGCCAGCUCCGAGAUCUCCAGCAGCAGCCGGUUCGCCUCGUCCAGGUUGUCCGCCGCCACCGACUCCGCGCACUGCAGCAGCAGCGUCAGCAGCUGCAGCCCCUCCUCGUCGCGCUUCUGCUGCCGCAGCUCCUCCUUGCGCGCCCUCGUCGGAGGUGGAGCUGCGCUGGGGCUGGGGGUCGGAGGAGCAGGAGGGUUGGGGGUUGGGGAGGCGAUGAUGAUGAUGAUGAUGAUGAUGAGGGGGAGGAGGAGGAGGAUACGCGGGCUCCUCCGGCCAGUUGGGCGGCUGCUGCUGCUGCUGUUGUUGGCUUUGUGGCGACUUGGGAAGAGGCGGGGCCGGUGGGGGCUGGGGCGGGGGAGGGGCGAGCUCGCGGCGGCGAGCUUGUCAGGCUGGGCGCGUCGGAGGGGAGGGAGGGGAGCGGCGGCGGCGGCGGCGGAGGAGGAGGGAGAGGGUCGGAGGAGGCGAGGGAGCGGAGGCGGUGCUCGAGGACGGCGGCGAGGGCGGGGUUGCAGGGGUGGAUGACCUCGCGGACGUUGUGGAUCAGCUGCGGGAUCGACACCGCGGGCGCCGCGCUGCUCAGGAGGUCGCGGAUGAUCCCGUCCACCCACGCCGACGCCGCGCCCUCGUCCGCGCCGCCGCGGCCCGCCACCCCCUCGUUCGCCGCCGCCGCACCCCCCCCGCCGCCCCGCUCGAGCUCCGCCGGGAACAGCGGCAGCCCCGAGAACCCGCACACCGCCGGCGCCGGCGGGGGGAGAGACGGAAGGAACUGCGUCGGGUUGCCCCCGUGCUGCACCAAAAUCGGGGCGUCCAGAGCGCCGCCGCCGCUCGAAGCCGAAUACAGAAGCGAGGAGGGGUGCCCCGCCGCCGCGCUCUCCGCGAACGGCCCCUGCGCCGCGGCCGUGGACGAGGAAGCCCCGCCACCCGCCGCCGCAGCACCGCCUCCGCCGCCGCGACGAGGGAGUCUGGGGUUGUGGUAAGAAGAUGAGGAGGACUCGUGCUGUAGAUCGAGCUCCGAGGCGGGGCGCUUCCUCACCAUGAUCACCUCGCCCACCUGCUGCUGCUGCUGCUGCUGCUGCUGCUGUUGUUGCUGCUGCUGGAGAUAGAGGAGAUAAAGAAGCUCCUUUUCCUCUUCAGAGUAGUGCGAGAAGUGAGAAUCAUGAGAAGACGACGUCGUGUUUGUGGUUGUGGUUGUGGUUGUGGUCGGGGGCAGGAGCAGUAAAGAGGAGGAACCCAUCAGAAAAAACAAAGGGAAAGGGCUCGGCGCAUGCUAGUGCAGUAGAAGAAACGGUGAGGUGGUAGUAGCAGUAGUAGUAGUAUGAGGAUGAGGAAGAGGAGGAGGAGGAGGAGGAGAGUAAAGAGGAAGAGGCCGAGGAGCAGAAGCCGCGCAGAGAACAACAACAACAACAAUAACACGGGAAUAAGCACGAGACCAAUAGUAAUACUAAUAAUAAUAAUAUUAUUAUUAUUAUUGUUACUAUUGUUAACAGAGGGGGAGGGGGAUAUAUAUUGCUUAUAAAGCGGGUGCGCAUUGGGGUACGCAUAAGGGGUCGGGGACGGCUCCAAGCGAAAAACGGCGGGGCGAUUCGGACAUGGGGGUGAGGGGUUGUUGUUCGGGCCUGGAUUCGACGCUAAUAAGAAAGAACAACCUGUUGCAGCGUUUCCUAUUUCUCUCUCUCUCUCUCUCUACCACUGUAAUUUUUUCCUUUUUUCUUUUUUUUUUUUGUUUCCCCCCUAUCUCUCUCUCUCUCUUACCUAGAGGAGAGAGGAGAGAGGAGAGAGGAGAGAGAGAGAGAGAGCCGUUGCCGUUGUCGCGCUCGGCGCUCGCGCGUCGCUCGGGGCGCGUCGGGAGACGACGCGAAACCCCAGGCGAGGGAGGUGAGAGGGGUGGGAAAAAUCGGGUUGGCUUUUUUUCUUUUUUUUUUUUUUUUCUUCUCCGCCGUGCGAUUUGUGCGGUGGGAUUAAUGAAAAGGUCGGAUUAAACAACGAGCAUCCAAAAUGCAUGCAGACCCUUCUACUUCAUCUUAUUUCGAUUGACACCACCAAAGAUCUUCUUGGAAUGUGCGAACAUGCCGCUUCCUAGUUAAAAAAAGGCAAAAAGAAAUUCAAGAAUUUUUAAAUUUUAUUUUAAAUUUUUAGUAUUGAAAGAUUUAAUAAAAUUAGUGAAUAAAUAUGUGUCCUUGGAAAACUGCAGAGUGUACCUCAUUUUAUCAUCCUAUAGUUAGAAAAAAAAAAAACAAUGCUUUAUUCUCUUUUGAUUUUUAUUUUUGUCUAAUCAUAAGAAUUCGAUCUUUAAUAGAAUAACAAACUGAUAUAAUUAUAAACCACAAAAUAGUAAGAUACAAUAUUUGUAUAAAUCACUAAAAAAAGUAAAAUAUAGCAUUUCACUAGCCUCUAAUUUUCUGAUAAAUUAAUGAUAAAAUUAUAGAUAAUAAAAUAAUAUUUUUUAAACUGUAGGAUGAUAAGUUUGGGGGCCUAUUUUAAAACAUUAUUAUAUAGUAUUUUUUAUCUUAAACUAAAUUAGUAAAGAGGGUAGGCUUUUUCAUUUGACUUGGAAAGGUUGUUUAGGUCUUAGUUGGGAUGUGGGGGUUAUGGGAAAGGGUGUGAUAAACAAAUUUAGUUCUUGAUUGUGGGGUACUGUGUAAAAGUGUUACAAAGGGAGAAAAAAGGUGUGUUGGACUUUGGUCCUAUUUCUCUCUCUCUCUCUCUCUCUCUCUCUCCUGAAACAAUUAGAAAAGGUUUUUUUUUUUGUAAAGAGAAAUCUUAGAUAGUGGAGCUUUUUGAGAUGUUGAGUAUAACUGCUGUUUCCAAUUAUCAUUGCAUUUGGUUGGGUGAGCUUUGACUUUGAAACUUUUUUUCUGGGGUUUGAGUUUGAAAUUAUUACAUAUAUUUUUUGUUUUAAACUUUGUUUGAAGUUUAUGUAAAAAUUUACAAGUUAUUGUUUAAAAUAAAUCUUCUUCAUGAAAUAGAGAAAUUAAAAUUUGUGAGUAGCUCUUAUUUUUGUAUGGAUAUUUGAAGCUUUAUCUGAAAUCAUAACUAAAUAUAAUGCUUUUAACCGAAUAUAAAAGAGAAUGGUGUUGGUGAUGGGGUUGUAGAAAGUGAUAUAUGCGCCGAUACCAAUCGAUUGUAUUACGUAGGAUUUAGAUUGCAUGUUUAGAGAUAAAAUAAGUUAGGAGAACUAAACAAAUUAUAUUUUGUUAAUUAAACCAUUUAAUACAUUCGACUACUCUAUACAUCCUUGGCUUUUAGAGGAGGCCUUAUGUAUGUAAGCUUUUUCUAACUCUCUCCUUUACGAAUUCCUUGUGUUCAUAUUAAGAUUGAUUUUAGAUCAUUUUUUAUCGAUCGAUCUUUUGGAUAAUAUAAUUUUAGAGCAAUGUUUCAAUACACUAUGGGCGUGUUUGGUUCGCUUAUUUUUCACCAUAGAAUCGAAAUCGGAAUGGGUGAAUUCGUUUGUAGGUGUUUGGUACGUGGGAGUCUCAUUCCGAUUCCGAUUCCCGAGUGGAAUGGGAAUCCCCCAAUCACCUCAUUUUUCAAUCCGACCUAGGAGACCGGAUUAGAAGUUGAAUCAGGACGGAAUGGAUAUUUAUUCGGAUUAAAUUUAUUUUUUCUACUUUUUAAUUACAAUAUGAGUUUAAACUUAGAAAUUAAAUUUUAAAUUUUAAAUUUUAAUUUGAACUUGAAUUAAAAAUUAAAAUUUAAUCAAGUAUUUUGAAUCUAACUUAUGAAUUUGAAUUUAAAUUAAAUUUUAAUUUAUAUAAAAUUUUAUUCAAAUUUUAUUUAAAACUUAAAUUAAAUUUAUGGAUUCAAAUUAAAAUUUAAAUUGUAAUUUUAAGUUUGAAUUUGAAUAAAUCAAAAUUUAGUUUUAUAUUUUGAAUUAUUUACUCAACUUCAAAGUUUAAUUUUUUUAAAGAAAUAGAUUUAAAAUUUUGAUAUUAUUUCAAAAUUUUGAUGUAAAUAUUUAAUAUUUAAAUUUUAAUUUGAAUUUAAAUUAAUAUAUUAUAAAGAUAAAGUUAGCAUAUUAAUCCGAUUACGUUUUUUAUAUUUACCUAAACCAAACACCAACAAUGGGAAUGAUUUAUUCCGAUUCCGAUUCAGGUGAUGAACCAAACAGAGUUAAGUAAUAAGUCAUUCCGAUUCCGAUUCCGAUUCCAGCUUAUUUCGAUUUCGAUUCCGAUUUCGAUUCCGACUUCGAACCAAACAUGCCCUUAAGUAUUAAAAUCAAACUCUUAAUUAGUAAAGGGUAUAGUUGGAUUUUACAUAAGGUAACCUAUUGAAUAGGUUACCGAUUUGAAUUAGUUAAUAUGACAAUAUUGGAAAAAAAUUAGUAGUAUAUACAAAUUUGUUAGUAUCCUAUAAUAUUAAGUAUCUUUUUUAGUUUUGUUACUUACCAAAUUAGAUAAUACUCAAUUUGUUAUUCAACUCAAAAAAAUAUUGAAUUUAAAUUUAAGUUUUGAAGUUGGUAUUGUAAUGUAAAAUUUUAAUUUCAAAAUUUAUAUUAAAUUUUUAAAUUUUGAAUCUACAUUGCACUUUUAAUCUGUAAGCCAAAUUUUAAUUUUUGAUUUAAAUUAAAAUUUUGAAUUUGAACUGAAAGUUUUAUUUUAAAUUUGUGUUUUAUAUUUAAAAGUUGAAUUUGAUUUAUAAUUAAGUUUUUUAUGUUGUUUUGUAUUUAAAUUUACAGUUUAGUUGUAAUUUGAAUUCCAACUAUUGUUGUAGGUAUUUGAAAAGGUUAUAGUAUUCUUAGUUGGAUAAAACCUAUCUUGUAGGCCAAAAUAUUUUUCUAAGACCAAAAUACCCUUUAAAUAGGUAUCUGGUGAAUGGUACUUAUGCCAAAAUAGUAGGUCGCCUUGAUUUACAUGGUGUAUUGAGGUAUUAUUCUUUUUUUUUUUUUUUUGAGAGAAAGGUAGCAUGUUACCCGCUUCGUUUUUUCAUUUAUAAAUAAACUUGGCUGAAAAUGUGAAUCAAUUAGGAUUCGAACUUGGGUCUCGGGUACCAACCACCAAGCCCUUUUGCCACUUGCGCUAGGGACAGUCGGUUAUUACUCAUAAUAUUAAAGCAGAUGCAAAGUUUCUCCUAUUUGAAAAUGGCAUAUAUACGUUGAGUAGGGUUAUUGUGCUAUUAGAAGCACAUAAGUCCUUGUGCUCUUAAUUUUCUAAUUAUUCAUUAAUUUUGAUGGAUGGUUAAAGAUGAGAGAGAAAAGAAAUUGAAAAAAAAAAUUAAAAAGAAGAGAAAUUGAGACACUCAAAUUCUUCUUAAUUUUUUUUCUCUCUUUCACCUUAACCAUUCGUCAAUUUAGAACGUUAGCAGCAUAAGGUCUCUAAUGAUUAUCGUUAUUGCUCUACGCACAAAAAAUUCAUAUUCUUUUUUUUAAAAUGAACGAUGCGAUCGCGGUGUGCAAAGAUUUCUUGUGCGAGGGAUUACUAUGCAAUUGAAUUCCUCCUAAAGUCCCCUCCAUUCGAAGAGCUCUUGUGUUGUUUUAUGACGUCUUCGUGUCUAUUAUAUUCUGUUGUUAUACAGAAUAGGAGUGUUAACACUAAUACUAAUUCUAAAUUAUUUUCUAUUAGAUCGAUCUUUUGAGUGAUAAUUCGCAAGAGCCAUCAAAUUUGAUUGCGCAGCACCACUUUAGAGGGAAAUCCAAGCGUCAACUCAACGGAUUGGAUAAGAAAUAAGCAGGAUAAGAUUCUGAUCUUUUAUUUCUCAUGCAUGUAACCAUUAACAAGAGGCAUACAUGAAACUUCAUGAGGUUUCGACUACUGCCCUGCUAAAUAGCAUUCUUGAUAAUAAUCAACUACUCUAAAAUACCAGUAAUUAGUUUUUUUUUAAUUUUAAAUUCAAAUUCACAUUUGGAAUUCUAAAUUCUAAUUUAAUUUCAAACUUCGAUUUGAAAUUUCAAAUUCAAAAUGUGAUUUUGAAUUCAAAGUUUAAAUUCAAAUUUAGAAUUGAAAUCAAAUCUUUAAAUUCAAAUUUAAAUUUUGAAUUCAAAUUUAAAAUUUAAAAUCAAAAUUUUGAAUAUGAUUUUAAAUUUAAAUUCAGGUUUUAAAUUUAAACUUCGGUUUCAAAACUUUCAUUUUAAAUGUAAAUUGAAAUAUCAGAAUCAAAAUCAAAAUUUUAAGUUUGAAUUCAAAAUUUAGAUUCAACUAAAAAUUUAAAUUUAAAAUUUGAAUUUCAAUUCAAAGUUUUAAUUAGACUUAAAAUUCAAAUUCAAAAUUCUAAUUUCUGGUUAGUUUAAAUUUUUAAUUUUAAUAUUAUUUCUGAAUUUAAAUUUAAAAUUUAGAAUUUUUAUUUUUAGGGACUAAAAUGAAAAAUGUGCAAAGUUUAGGGACCUAAAUUGAAAUGCAAAAGGUUGCCAAAUAGACGCUGACGUGGCAAUUCCGUAAAUUUUAACAGUUUUAUUAACGGUUGGGACGCAAUUGUAGUAAAAUCAAGAGGUUAGGGACUCCAUUGCAAAAAAAAAAAAAAAAAAGAUUGGAAACUUAAGUGAAAAUUGGUGCGAAGGUUGGGGGACUACCGGUGUAGUUAACCCUUAUUAUUCCAAUAGAAAAAAAUACUUCUAGAAGUAUUUUUGAGCCUAACUCGGCAUUUCCAUUUACAUAUACAUGGUCUCAUUAAUAAGAGUCCAAAUAAAUCACAUGAAAACGAUACUUUUGGGAGCGACAAGCUGGAGCAGCACUAAAGUCGGCAACGACGUUGAUACUCGUUGUGUGGAAGUCGUCACCUAAUUCGCUACUCCACGUAGAAAAAGCCAUGGAUGGCAGCUAUUUUUCUCCAAACAACUACCAGACGGUCACAGCAUCUGCGGCCCACGGAAUGUCUUCCGCUUUGACGGAUCAUAAAUAUACCCACCAAACAUUAAUUAAUUAGAAUUAGGUUGGAAUACUAUUAAUAGUAAAACGCUCUUUUUGCUAUCAAGUUUUUAACCCUUAGAUGAAACAUUGUAGGGUCAGUAUGAUAUUAGUCGGUUAGAGUUGAGUGGUCCCCCUAGGGUUGAGUGGUUCCCACUGGGUUAUAGUAUUUAAUCCGAUGGUUAGAAAUAAUGAAAAGAGUUGAUCCAAAGACUAAAAAACUGGUAGCAACAAUGAAAUUUUGCUACUAAUAGUUGCCCAGUCCAACUCUAAUUAAUAGAUGGCGUGGCAUGGGAAAGCUCCUUGUCUUUUACCCAUGCACGUGAGUGGCAACGUGGUCCCCCACUUCCCCCCCACAAAAAAAAAAAAAAAAAAAAAAAAAAAAAAAAAAAAAAAAAAAAAAAAAAAAAAAAAAAAAAAAAAAAAAAAAGAAGAAAAUGAUGAUGAUUCAUAAGAUUUGCUUUUUUUUCUUUUUUUUUUUGGGCUUUUUUUUUUUUUUGAGAAAAGAAAUAGUGAAUUGUAAGCGAGUUAGUUGAUCAUUAGAACAAAAUCUAAUAUAUUCUUUGAAAUUAUAAGAAUAUCUAAUAUAUAUUUUAAGUUGAUCAAAAUAUUUUUAUUAAUUUAUUAAAAAUUUCAUAAAAUAUUUCUAAUUUUUAGGAUUUACUAAUAGAAAUUAGGAUUUAUAAGGAUAUGUUUAGUAAUUUUAGGAUAAAUUUGAAAAUUUUGAAUAGUCAGGAAUAAGUAAGCAAAAAGUCCUAACCCUUUUAUUUAUUUAUUUAUUUAUAGAUAGGCGCAUAAAGUCUUAAAAUUUUAUAUUUUUUAAUUAAUUAUUUAAAAUUUGGAACCGAUCAUUAAUUAGGGCCUGUUGGGUAUUGUCCCCUUUUUUUGAAUGUUUUAAAACGCUAAUUCUAUAUAAUUUAAUAUGUCGAAGGAAAGAUGUUCAUUAUUAUUAUUAUUAUUAAUAUUAUAAUAGUUUAUUAGCUUAUAAUAUAUCCGACUAAUUGAUAAACAAUAAAUUAUUUUAAGGCUUAGUUUGGUAUUGAGAUUUAUCUAACGCUAUUAGAUAAAAUGGAGUUGAGGAAAAAGCAUAUAGGGAUAUGCUUCUGCGUUCUUCGAUGGGACCGCAGAAAAUAUAUUAUAACCGACUCAUCGCGAUAUGCGGAAUGCAAUAUUACGAAACAAACAGAGUAUUUUUCCAUCGUCGUUUCUCAACGUAACGCAAUCUCCCUACAAUCCCAAACGAAAUCUAAAUAGUUUUGGAACCAAUUUUUUUUAAAAGUUUUUAUUUUUUAUUGCCAGGUAAAUUAUUGUUCAUUCUUUCAUGUUUUGAUAUAUAAAAUUUUAU